UUUGAGUCCAAUAGUCCAUUUAAUCAUGGGCCUAUUAGCCCAUACCUUCCAUAAUUAUGGGCCUAUUAUGCAUCAUAAUAAAAAGGGCAAAUUACAGAAAUCACAUACUUUUAAGGCAAAAUUACAAUAUAUCCCUUAAAAGUUUAUAAUUACAGAAAUCCCUCAAACGGAUACAAUAAUAUAAGCGCUGAUACAUUAAGCUGGUGCGCGAGAUACAUUAAUCGUUAAGUAAGAUACAUUACAUUUUAUACAUGAUACACUAAUCUGAUGUACAUUUAAUACAUGAUACACUAAUCUGAUGCGCGAGAUACACUAAUCUGAUACGCUGAUACAUUAUUCUAAUGCGUGAAAAUGAGGGAUUUUGGAAAUUUGUAAAACUUAUAGGGAAUAAUGGUAAUAAGUAAACUAAAAGGUGAGAUUUUGUAAUUAAUCCAUAAAAAGCUCAGUCUUUGCUCCUUCUUUAGCUAAAAUAUUCGCUACCCUGUUUUGUUCGCCCUAAGUGUAUCUAAGCAUUGAAUUCCCAAUUUACCUCAUCAAUAAUGACUUAAAUUCACAUAAGCUUGCGAUAUGAAUUAAGUUCCUUUUCUUGAAUAAAUUACUUACCUCCAUAGAGUCCGAGGAAAAUUACAUUUGUAUGAUUAUAACUUUAAUAAAAAGCAAGACUUAUAUGAGAUACAAGUAAUUUGGAAACUUCACUUGCAUGCAAUGUAUAUAAUAUGUCUCCAUUUUAACGCAUGCUAGUAAAAUUGUGGACUAUAUAUUAUACCUUUUAAUAGUAAAAAAAAAUUGAUCACUUGCCAUAAUUCCUGGAGGACUUGCUUGUUUGGUGACCACAACCUUUCCAUAGACAUAUCACUAUGGGCAUGUGUUGUUACUAAUGAUAAAUCAUCAUCAUUUUGUCAUUGCAUUUUUUAUUUUAUUUUUUAUGAAGGGGCCAAGUCAGACUUCAUAAAGUCCCACAUAAGUUACUCAUAUCCAAUAAACAAAUGAAUGGACAACUGAUAAUUCCUCAAAAAUGUCAGAAAAGCAAAAAAAAAGAAAAGAAAAGGGGACACAAGUUCUUCAUUUUAUCUCUAGUGAAAGUAUUUUGGUUGCUUUCUCCUCCUGAAGUCCUUUUUCGAUUCUUUUUGCCUAUUGGAUAGGCCACUUGCAUAACCAGAAUUUUCAUCGAGAAAGUUAAACAUCUAUUUAUUAUAUAUAUAUAUGUAUAAAAAAUAUUUACUUUGUAUAUAUACACUAUAAUUUUUUAUUGAAGAGCUCCGUGCCUGGGGGAUUGAUGGGUAGAGGAAGAAGGGAGUUCAUUUCCCUUUGCAGAAAAAACACACAAAAUAAUUGAACCUCUUGGUAAAAAUUCUGUUUCCGUCGCUGGCAGAUGCUGAUUUAUACCAUCAGAGUAUGAACCAAAAUCAUUAUUUUAAAAAUAGGUGACAGUUUGUUACUUUUCAUUACUGUCUGAAGUAUGAAAAAGAGGAAAACUAAACUUCCCCAUUACCUGCCCAAAUUAUGUAUGGCCAAAAUCAUAAUAAGUACUCCGUUUCAAGAUUCAAACAUGUCUAUUUCAUGUGCAAAUUUUCAGUCAAAUUUAAAUUGUUUUGACUCUCGAAAAAUGAAAAACGUCGCAUAAAUUGGGAUAGAGGGAGUAACACAUAGUAGCUGGCUUACAUACAUAAAAUAGAAACCACUGUUUAGUCUGUGCUCCACUUGCUUCUUCAUGACAUAUCUUCCUAUAGGGUCCCCUCUUCCUUUUUUCAACACUAUUUAUUUAGCACAAACUUUCAUUAUUUUGCUUAGAAAGAAGCAAAGUUGUUCCUCCAAUGGGAAAUCACAAGUUCAAGUUUUCAGAUAUGAUGCCAAAUACUUGGUUUUACAAGCUUAAAGAUAUGAGCAAAACCAAAAAUCAUAAAUCCCCAUUUUCAUCUUCUUCUACAAAUAAGUCACAAUAUUCUCAACCAAGAUCAUCUUUUUCUUAUACUAGAAGGUCCAUUAGAGUUGACAAGAUUUACAAUUCUCAUUCUUAUAGCUUUCUUGAUCAACCAAGAAGAUCAUCAUCGUCGUCAUCUAAGAAAAAAUCCAAGAGAAAAACUAUUUACAAGCCUUCUCCUAAACACAUUCCUUCUUCUGUUUCCAACUACGUCUCAGUCUCAAACAAGUUAAAGUCGUCUUCUUCUGUUUACUCAACAGAAGACGAUAAAUUCCCUGAAUUAGAUUUCCUCAACUCUCCAUCCUCCGAAUUCGACUCUGUUGAAUCUCAAUCAUUCAAUGAACUUGCCUCAACUUGGCCAAAUUCUUGUAGUUGUCACUUCACUUCUUCAGCUACCGAUAUAAUCAUAGACAUGAAUGAUAAAGCUCACUCGAAUGAAUUCCACAAUCUUAAUACAGAGUACGCGGAAAUUUCAGAUAUUGAUCAACUCCCUCCGAUCAUUACAAAGACAUCGAAUUCCAUCAAGAACAUAAACCAGGACGAAAAUGUGAAGGCUCAACGAGAACAGGAAGCUAAAAACAGAGUAAGUUCCCCUGUUUCGAGAAAACAUUAUUCUAGCUCUUCUGGUGUAAAACUACGAACAAAUUCUACUAAAGUAGCGAGCAAGAGAAAUAGUGUGUCAUCAUCAAAAAGGCGUUCGAAGGCAAAAAAAGAGAGUUGUUCAACUUCAACAGGGACUAGUUUUGCUAUAGUGAAGGCUUCAAUUGAUCCUGAGAAAGAUUUUAGAGAAUCUAUGAUCGAAAUGGUUGUCGAAAACAAUAUCAGGGCAUCGAAAGACUUGGAGAAUCUUCUUGCUUGUUAUCUUUCGUUGAAUUCAAAUGAAUAUCAUGAUCUUAUUAUCAAGGCAUUUGAACAAAUAUGGUUCAACUUGUCUGACCUUCACUUGUAAAAAUCUACUAGUAUUCUCAUUUCUUCUAAAAAUGUUAAAGUACUACUAUUUUGAAUUUUUUAGUUAACUAACUUGUUCAUAGAUGCAAAAUAUUGUACUUUUCGAUCUUGUUUGUCCCUUUUCUGAUGAGUGUAUAUUUGAAUGUUCUGUUGGAAAACCCUUUAUUUUCCGGUAAAGAAUGUAAAUAGGGCAGGGCAGAACCGGGCAAGGAAAGCCUUAACUUGUCAAAGGUUUAACCCUGCCCGUCUUAUCCUGUCCUGCCCUAUUUAAAUUUCGGGGGAAUUGUAAAGCUAGAAGCCGGAAGUAUUAGAAAUAAGGAUAAUUGUGAAAUUAUUCAUUUUUCACGUCUGCGAGCUUUAGAAAGGAGAAGGGAAGCGUCAAAUCCACCUUUUGCCUCUAUUUUCAUUUUUCACGUCUGCGAGCUUAUUUUUUUUCUCUAGAUCUUUACAAGUUCAUUAAAGAUUAAUUUCUAAUAAAGUUUUUUAAAAAAAUAUCUUCUUAGUUUACCAGGAACACUUUCUUUAGAGAUGCCCUUUAUUUAUUUUUUAACGAAAUCUUGCUCUGAUACAAGAUUAAGUUGUAAACUUUUAUGUGAGAUGAACAUGCACUUUAUUUCACAUUUUUUUUGUCGACCCAAAUUAUUUAGUUGAUCAUUCACUUUCUAGUGUAGACAGAAGAGGUCCACAUUAGAAUUAAGGUAGUGCAAAUACAGAAUGUGAAGAAAAUAUAUUGCAAAUCAUAAAUAAAGUAAGUACUAUUUUUAAAGUUUGCAUUGUUGUCAUAAAGUAAAAGGUGGCCUUCUCUAUUACAUAAUUGUCAAAAUGAGUGAACAAAGACAUAGAUAAUUAAGGUACCCUAUUGGCUGCCUUUUGCACAAAUUAAUAAUGCAAAUUUUUUAGCUGUUCAUUGAUCGUCAAGUUUCCUUUUUUGGGAACAGUAUUAAUUGUCUUGUCAAAAAGAUGUUUCCUAUUAAAAAAAUAAAAAUUGAGAGUGAAUAAUGUUAAGUCUAAUUCUUCAUGGUAAUUAUGGAGAUUAAUGAAAAGGACCACAAAGAUGUAAAUAUAUAGGCCAAAUUAAAGAUGUACGUUAUGUUUCAAUUGUGUUGGACAUAUAGAAUCUUGUGAGUUGCUAUUGCCUAUUCUUGUAGAAACUUAGUUGAGGGAUAUGUCUGAUUAAUUAUUAAGGACCGUCUUUAAUAGGUAAAGAUAAUCUAAUGAUAUAUAUAUUCUUUGUAUCAUUGAUAUAUAUAUCUUAAACUAAUAAUAAUAAUAAUAAUAAUAAUAAUAAUGAAAUAUCGUACUUGAGAUUUAAUACCUCCAUGAGAUUAGUUCAAGCCUUAGAUUUACUAUAUGAUGAAAUGAAUGAAUUCAAAAUCAAUAAACUCAAAUUAACAAUAGGUACAAGUCUUAGUGUAGACAUUUAAAAAUAAAAUAAAAUUGAGGCAUGUGUAUUCAUUCAAGCACUCAGUAUCGUAGCUAAAUGUAUUAGUCGAACAUCCUUCAUCGAUUUAUAUAUAUAUAUAUAUGUGUGUGAAUAAGUUUCAUAGGUACAUACUUAAUCUUGAACACUCUUAAAUAUGCCCUUUAACUUUGCCUCAUUUCACAUUUAUACCCUCCAACUUUGGAUGUGCACAAAUAGACACUUAAACUUGUAUAAAGUUGAACAAGUAGACACAUGAGUCCUAUGUGACAUAAUACACAUAGGACACCACGUAGGAUGCAAAUUGCCAUGUAGGAUGCCACAUAGGAUGUGUGUGUCUAUUUGUUCAAUUUUAUACAAGUUUAAGUGUCUACUUGUGCACACUCAAAGUUGGAGGACAUAAAUAUAAAAUGAGACAAAAUUAAAAGGCAUAUUUAUGUAUUAUGCCUAAAAAAUUUGACUUCGCUACUGAACGGUUAGUUAGAUAAGUUGCAGCUAACAUGUAACUAGAAACAAAGAGAGAGAAAUUGACAACGUUAACACCAACACCCGACCCGAAUUUUGUGCGUUGAAUGUAUGCUUUUGUCGUUGAUCGAAAAACAGGGUCGUUAGGGAAAUAUUAGUACCAAACUCCAUCUAGUCACGAGAGCACAAUCCAGAAAUAAGUGUUUUCUAAUUACUCACUCUUUGAUUAUUGCGUAAGUAAGCAAAGAAAUAUUGUAAAAAAUCUUUUAAAAUAUUCAUUUCGAUAGGUAGGGUAGGAAUAUACCUAGGAAGGAAGCGGAAGUGAUAUGGGAUAGGGUGGUAUGGUCAAGGAGUGGGCUCAGAGGCAGUGAUGGAGCAAAAUUUUGAUUAAGAAAUGUCAAAAACAAAAAAAGUAAAAUCGCUUGAUGUCAAGGAAGGUCGAUAUGUGAUGUAUAUAUAUUAAAUAUUUUUAUUUAGCUGCAGCCAGCACAGAGUAAUUUUCCGACCCCUCAAGUAUAUGUGGUUCCGCUGCUAGUUGAAGGUUUGGGAGGAGACAAUAUAAUGAGCUUGAAAUGCUACUUAUGAGACUUAAUGAGUACAACUUAUUAAAGGGAAACUACGAAAAAAAAUCUUAGAGCUAAUUGUCUAAUUCAUCCACAACUCCGAGAUUAAUGUGCUCUUUUUUAUUAUGCUAGAGUCGUUUUUUCUGCUCAAGGGAAAGUCAUAUUCUUAAUUUUUAAACAACUUAGUUUUCUUCAAAAUAUUUUCACAAACCAAGCAUGAAAAAUUAGAAAAUAUUUUUCUAAAAAUAUUUUUGGUCAUACCAAACACACUCUUAAUUAAUAUUAGUAAGAAAAUCAAGAUUAAAUUUUUAACCCUUGUUUUUUUUUUUAACAAUCUAGUCCCACUAAGACGAUGAGGUGUGGAAACAGACUUCCGAGAGAGUUGCUUUUGCCUUGAGUAUUCAGAAUUUAUUGAUCAGAUUAAUUCAAAAUCAAGUCGGUCACUUAAGAGGAAAGCAAUUCAUACCAAUAAUCUUUAGUAAAAGAAUCAUAUUCAUUCACCUCGUUACGAUUUACCCCUUUUAAUUGAAGUAAAGAAAGAACCAAGAAGAUGCGCAUCCACCAAUUACAGUUAAAACUAUAAUGUCUUUUGUAUACCUGGAAAUCAAAAUGACCUUUGGGAAAAAGUGAAGCCUCAUCAUUCAUUAAAGAUCCACCAUGAAGAUUCUGUUAACAAAAGUGUAACAAGCAUGGGGCAAAUAUACCAUUACUUUGCCCUUUUAAUCAAUUAUUGAACAUUAUAACUCACAUAGCAUGCCAUACACAUCAACAAAAAUGCCCUCCACAUAUUAUUAUUGCACAAAUUUAACUAUUGUAUGGUCACAAUUAGAUAAGGGAGACAACAGUAACCCAUACAAACAUGACUCACUACCCUUCAAACUAUUUAUUAACUCAAUCCAUUUUAAUCUGUUCAAUUCAAUUCAGUUAAGUUAAGAGUUCAGGUUGAAAUGUAAAUCAAAUUGAUCCAUGAGGAACUUUGUUAAAAAUUUUAUUAUAUAUAACUAUAAUAAAAGAAAAAAGAAGGGUUGUUAAGUGCUUAAGUAAAUUAUUAAAAUCAAACAAAGUAUAUAAAAUUUAGUAAAAGGGGAUGGUUUGGAUUACGACCUAUUGUUUAGUCUAUUUUGACUCAUUCAAAAAAAUCAACCCAUUUUUUACCCAUUAGCUGAAUUCAGUAGCGUGAGCUUGUGACUAAGUAGGUAGUAAGGUGUUGGGGACAAUCAUAGUUAGUCCUAUGAGGUAAACAUGGGUCAAAAGUUCAAAAUUAUCCAUUUUAAAGAUUAUUGAGCGUAAUUUCCUGUCAAAAAAGCUAUGUAUGCAAGUUCAUUUGGCCCUUAUAAAAGAAAAACUAUUUUAACCCGUCUAAAUUCAAUCGAUCUGCUUAUUUGAUAUCCUAUAAUCAUGCAAGAAUAUAAUUUGUUUGGAAAGUAUAGUGAAAAUGGAGUUCUUGUAAUUGACACAAAAUAAAUGAUACACUAUAUAUAGCAAAUUAUGGGCCUAUUCUCAAGGCUUUUUUUUUCGUAAGAUUUUCAGUUCACUCAAAAAAAAUCUUUAGACCAUGGUCUAAAAGGUUCAUAAGUUGACGGACAACUAACAGUGUAAUGUUUUGUCAGUCCCAAGAGUAAUAUUUGCACAAAUUGCAUUCUUCCAUUGCUUGAAGGAACAAAUGAACAAAAUUUGAACAAACACUUUUAUUGUCAUUUACAAUUACAUCAGCUGCUUAAUUCAAACUCUCAUCUGCUUAAAACUACCAUAUGUAUCGUCCUUACUAUUUAAAUUACAUAUUUUGUAGAAGAGAAAUCAAUGUCUUCUUGGUUUGUGACCUUGUCCCUUACCAUCACUCGACAAUCUCAUCGAAUUAGUACAAUUCAUCGAUCUAGGACUCCUCUUCAAAUCCUCGUAAGGUUGUUGAAACCCGAUGUUUUCAACAGCACCAACAGUCUUGAACAAUCGUCUCUUGUGCACUUCUUCCACCAAUGACUUGUGCAACAACUGACUCCGCAUAUCAACUAAGGACUUGUUCCUUGUUAGUCUACGCGUAUCAUCAUUACCUUUCCCUUUAGAGGUGGAAGAAGUUCCUUUUGAUUCUAGCAUAGCUUUGCAUUGCUUGUAGCACGUUCUUGCCAAAGACUGUCCGGUGCUUGAGUUUUCCUCAGGGCAGAAUCGCGAAGUGUGGUGACUAAUUGCAGUAGCUGGUUGACUUUGUCUUGUAGAGGUGGUCACAGGAUCAUUCUCAUCAUCAGAGAAGUAAUUGAAGUUGGAAUAAUUUGCAGAGUGUGACGAGCAUUGAGAGCUCGUGUCAUCAAACAUAUCACCUGCAAGAUGUAAAUGAGGUGACAAACAUAUAAACAAUCACGUCUUGGUAACUUUUUUCUGGUCGAAAUAAGUAUGCUAGUCCUUUAAUAUAACUCAACUAACACAUAUGUGGUUCAUUCUCAACAUUGCGAACCAAUACUCAAGGAGAUUGAAUAAAAUCUUUCGACGAUAGAGCAAAGAUAGAACGUGUGUGGAAAUGGUAAUAUAAAACUAGAUCAGAUAAAUAAUGAUACCAUGAAGCCAACGCCGGUCAUUGGUGUUUGUGUCAAUCACUUGAGAGGAGAGCAGACCUGACAAUGAUACUUGGGAAGAUGAAGAAGACGAGAAACCUUGGAAAGGAUUAUGGCGAUCGUUAUCAUCAUCCUUAUAGCUCAGAACAUGGUAAUCGGAGGAUUCAAACUGAUUCCAUUUCUUCCACUGAGGUACUAGGCCAGAUAUUUCUCCAUCAAUCAUAUUAGCGAUUUCACAUGGUUUCCAGUCUGUAAUUUCUAAUUCCUUCACCAUUUCGUUUGCCACCUCCGUGGGGGUGUCAGUCACAGUGUCGAAUGGGAAAUACACAUGCCUAACACCACCUGCAAUGAACAGUGUUAAAAAUUUAGUGAAUGCUUCAGCUUCAUGUGCUUAUCUAGAAACUGGACUAAUAACAUCCUUUUUUUCCUUUUCAUAAUCCUUCUCGUCUGCUUAUGGAAUCUAAUGUUUUUUCCUAGAAGGUUCUUAUUCUUCAAUAACAAAAAAGAGGUCACAAUAGAUACCUUCUUUAUCCGCAAUCUGCACUUUAAGAAAAAUGGUAUCAUCUUCAGGGUUCAACUUCCCCGUGAUGGUCAUAUUAGUCCUUGGAACAUCCUCAUUCAAGUGAAGGUCCUCGAUAGCAAUUUUAUCAUUCAAGAUAGGCUUCUGAAGUCGCAUCAUUGUAACUGACUCACUAUCAGCAUCGUCAAUCACGAGGAACGGAUCAAGCAUUAGUUCUUUAGCUGAUGAUCUAUUUGAUGCUGGUUCCAAGCAUUUCCUAAUAAACCUUUGUGCAUCCAAGUCUUGAACUUUAUAAAAUGCCCUUGGCCUCUUACCCUGAGUUAGGAAUAAAGGGCAUGCAAGUAAACUACUGAUUGACUGAUAAAAGCUGUCGAAAAAGUAGAUACUAAAAACUAAAGCAUCUUACAGAGAUCACUUUCUUGUAUAUUUGUGCAGGGUUAACACAUUCACUAUAUGGAUAUUCACCAGUAAGCAUCUCCAACAUGCACAUGCCAAACGAAUAUACAUCAACAAGCUCAUCAUAGUUCUCGUCAUACAAUUCUGGUGCCAUGAACUCAGGUGUUCCUAUUGCAAUAAAUAGAAAUAAUAAACAAUUAGUAGUAAUUGCGGAAUGUUUGACAAAACACUAGUGCACCUUAGAUUUGAUUGAAGUUUAUAUGCAGUAAAAUCUCAAUAUCAAAGCCAGUCUAGAAAAAUUCAUUUGGACAUUUAGAACACCACAGACCUUGCUUGAUUCACCAAAUUCAAACGUAUACAAAAACAACUAUGCCUCAGUUCCGAACAAGUAAGGUUCACCAAGUUCAAAUGUAUGAUCUCAGAAAAUGUCACCGCUACUUGGUACUCCGCAGAUCUAUAACAGAUUGUGAUGACAAAAGUUCCAGCCAGGAAAAAGGGAAGUGGGAGAUGGAGUUACCUAUAACACUGUGUGCUCUCUGUGAUCCACGAAGAAUUGCUGCCAAUCCCAGGUCCCCAAUCUUCACUUGUCCAAGAUGACCAUUAACAAAUAUGUUAUCACACUUCAGGUCUCGAUGAAUCACUGGCGGAUCAUGUUCAUGCAAAUAAACCAGACCUUCCAGAAUUUGGUGUGCCCAAAUCUUUACAGCUCGAAUAUUUACUCGAUGAUAUUUAUUUCUGUAUCUAAAUUCAAUCAAAUGUAUCCCUAUCAGCAAAUUCAUCACAUUCAAAACAGAUACAUACUUUAACUGAGGGCUGAUACUCCAAAUCUCCUAAUAAUUGUAACAAUAGGCAUCAAAACUCAAAUUUAAAUUCUUAUUUUUUAUGAGACAUUACAGCAGUAAGGUGCCAGAUCAAUAGGACAUAACAUGUAAGAUACAGCCUAAGGAGAAAAUUUUCAAUUAGUCUCAUAAACUAACACGAUUAGUCAUCGAAAUUGGGACCUUUAAGUCCAGGGCCCUCACAUGCAAUAAGUUGCAACAUUAACUAGUGGGCGAAUUUUCUGAUAAAUCAAAGUAAUUGGCUAUCCAACUCAAGCCUAUGUGACAUGACCAAUCAAUAGAUACCACCACCUUUUGUCCUAUAUUCCAUACACCACACUAGAUAGAUAUCAUAUUCAUGGAAUACGAUUCACUUUCAGGAUGCCUUGCUGGUGAAAUGGUAGAAACACGAGACUCACAAUCUCCACAGAGUUGAUUUAACGAUUCGUACCCAUGGGACUCUAAAUUAUGGAUUCGUCACUGCUCAUAACUUUCCAUAUACUUCACAGCAUAACUUAAAAUCACUGCAAUUCGAAGAGAACAAUUACGAUAGACAAGGAAUAGAGCAUUACCCUCGGAGAGUACCGGAAGUGAACAACUCAGUAAUGAAAUUAAAGGUCCUCUUUUCGAUAUCGAUCCAUGAAGUAUAGAAUUUCAUGAUAGAAGGAUGAUUCAGAGUGCUAAGCAAAUGAACUUCAGAGUAAAGCCUCUCUAUAUCCUCUGGUGACUGAAGCAAAUCAUUAAGUCUAAUUUGGCUCCAUGCCACUUCCAUACCUAACAACUCAUCAAUUGCCCUAUAAACUGUUUUCAUUGCCCCUUUUCCCAAAACUUCCUCGAACUGUCCGCACAUGCAUAAACACCAAAAUGCCAAACAUAAUCAAGAAUCAACAAAAACAGUAACUUAAUCUGUUCUACUUAUGGAAAUCAACAAAUCAAGAACUGUAAAUGCAAAAUUGAUCAACCCCAUAUAAUAAAAUGCAACAAAAAGAUUGAAACUUUAUAAAAAGAAACAAGAACUACUAACAACUUGCAAGAAUCAACAAAAACAGUAACUUUAUCUGUUCCAUUUAUGAAAAUCAACAAAUCAAGAACUGUCAAUGCAUAAUUGAUCAAGCCCAUAUAAUAAAAUGCAAUAAGAAGGCAAAAGACUGAAACUUUACAAGAAAAACAAGAACUACUUGCAACAACAUGCAAGAAUCAAUAAAAACAGUAACUUUAUCUGUUCCAUUUAUGAAAAUGAACAAACCAAGAACUGUAAAUGCAAAAUUGAUCAACCCCAUAUGAUAAAAUGCAACAAAAAGGCAAAAAGAUUGAAACUUUAUAAGAAAACACAAAUACUUACACGUCCAUAACGACCAGUAGGGUCAGUUUCAACAUACCCAAGAUCCUCCUCCUCUGAUUCUUUGCAGUUAUCUGAAAAUCCUCCAGAAUACAUAUCAAAAUUGAUUCUUGAGAAAUUGGGCACAAGUUGAAUCUUAAAAAAAAAAGAAGAGAUGAACUAUUUAUUUGUGGAUGUUAAGAGUUACGUGGGUAGCUAAAAUUUGUAUUUCAAGACUCAGUAAAAGAGGUGAUUCAGAGAAGACAACACAACAGAGAAGCCAAAAGGGUCUUGAGAAGUUGCUGACAACCAUUUGAUUGAGAAAUGAGACAAAUGUGAUAGGUUAGUGUGUUUUGAUUUGACAGCAAGAAUAGCACAAGUGAAAAUGGCGGAUACACAAUUUGGACUAAUAGGGCCAGAUUGGAUUUUCUUGGAAAAAAAUUUAAAAAAUAAGAUUUUUACUGGCCAAGUUUUGGAUUUUUGUUGAAGGUGAAAAGAGUAAAUUAGGAAAACAAAUUAAGAACUGGACCAGCUAUUGCUUUGGUGGGAUUAUAAUUUGUUGCUAGGUGACUAAGAAAAAAGAGUGGCAAACAGGAAUAUUGGAAAAGAUAAAAUCUUUAGGUUAGAACUUAGAUCUUUUAUCAAGUGAUAUAAUGACUAGUGCAAGGAAAGAGGGGCUAGAGUGAGAGACGGAGUCAAAAUUUUAAAUUCACGCAUGUUAAGGUUAUAGUCAUAGAUAUAGAUUUUGAAAAUGUAUACCAGAUCUUACGUAAACUUUAUCUAUUUAUAUAAUUCAUGUUCAAGAUAUGAUAAAUUUAAUGAGACAAAAAGGUUGUCAUUAUCGGAAUUCCUUAUAAAAAUUGAAAUGAGUAGAUAUUGAUCGAUAUUAUAAGAUGAUAAAUGUACUACAUGUUAAAGACGAUAAACAUAAUCGAGCAAAGAAAUUGAAUUGUCAAACGUCCCGUUAGAUUGGAACAAGUAGAUGUUGGUCAAUAGCAUAAGAACACUUUCUUAUGUCAAUUUAAAAAACUAACGAGUUCUUCAUUUUUCUUUGAUUCAUCUUACACAUACUAUAGUACACUUUCCAUUCAAGCGUAAAUAUAAGUAUAUAAUUGAAAAUUUGAGUAUCAUUCUAACGUAUCUUUUAUAAUAAAUAAAAAUAUUUUGAGCGAUCUAAACUUGGAGUUUUAAUUUUUUAUGGUUCUCACUAUUUGAAAUUUUGAAUACAACAUCCAUUCACGAGUGGAGGCAAUUUCACCGAUGGAUUUUGCAUUUGACAACUUGAGUCCCACUAAUGUAAUACACAUACAUAUUAUAAGAUGAUUAGACUAAACAUUAUUACAAUUUAUUAUUUAUGAUAUUAUCGAUUAAAUGCAAGUUCCAUAAGUAGGUGAGAUUGAGGAAGACAUUUUAUUUUAUUUAAUAAUAAAAGUAAUUAAUUGUCAAACUAGAUGCACGCCAUUAUGGAAUUGCAAAUUAAAAGGCCACCAAUAUAAUGAUCAACUACGUGGGAAGGACUGUAGUAUUAUUUUUCCUUUACACGCCUCUUAAAAAAUCAUGAAUAUAAAAUAUAUUUUUACUAAUUUUUCAUUUAAUUCUUUUUAAUACACUCUAUUUAUGUAUCGUAUCUCCAUCAGUAUCAAGAUUAAUAAUGAAGAACUUGUUUGGUACUUUACCAUACUAUUUAUACUUCCCAAGAAAAUUAAUUUUAAGGAAAGAAAUGAAUUAAUUUUAUAAAUUGACAAAUAUUUCUUGAUAAAUAUUCCUAGUAACAUGGACAAAUAAUAUGAUACGAAAGGAAUACGGUUGAUGAAAAAGACUUUAAUCUUUGCUAGUGCAGUAGUAUCUCUUUGGAUAAAAAAUCAUUACUAAAGGAAAAGAUCAAUAGAAAUAUUUGAAAACUAUUAUUGAUCUAAGUGCGAUCUGUAUUUUAUCAACAAUUCAAAAAUGUAAGCAUAAAUUGUUAAAUAUAAUUUAUCAUGGUGAAGAAAGUUAGCAUAUUAAUAAGUUAGCAUCCAAAUUAUUGAGGUUAUGUACUUUUAUAUAUAUAUAUUCUAAAUCGUGUAAUUAAUUUAAAUGAUAAAAUAUUUUAGAAAUUAUAUUCUUAAAUCAUGUGAUUAAAUAAUCUUCUGGCAAAACAAUAUGCAAAAAGACGCAUAUCAUGCUAUUAUUAGUAAAGUAUAAAUAUUGGAUUGGCUACUUUAAACUCUUUAAAAUGAUGAUUUCAUCAAACUUAUUCAGUAAUUAUUACUUUAUAACUGAAGGGGCAAGUUUGACUAUUGCAAGGGAAAAAAAUACUUGUUAAAGGCGACACCUGCUCUUAUAUUAUCACGUAAAUAAAUAAAUCAUAUAAUUUGCAAUGCAAUUAUUAAACAAUAUUAUUUGACCAAACUAAUUAAUAAAAUAACUCCAGUUGAUGCACCGUGCACGUACUCUCAUCAUCUCUUCAAUACUCAAUCGUAAAGGAAGAUAUUUUAUUUUCAUUUUUAUAAAAAAAGAAGUUGAUGUCUGACUUGGCUUUAAAAAUAUAAUCUUUUACUUUUAUUUUAAAGAAUUUAUCAACUCACAACAACGAAAAUAUAUCAUUUUCGAUAAAUUUUCAACUCAAAUGAAACAGAAAAUCAACUUGCACUCUUAUUAACUUGAUAUGCUUAUAUUGGUGACGUUAUUAUCAUAGUGAUCAAAGAAGCAAUAUCAAAUAUGCCUUUAAAAAGAUCAGAAAUAGUCAAAUUUGUAAUUGUUCGUACCAUAAACAAGGGCCAACUGCUAAGAUUCUUUUUGAAACACAAGAAUAUAUUUUCUAGAUCCUCUAGUUAGUUAAGCUGACAUAUAACUUUUAAGUAGGUAAAUUUUAUUUUAAUUUUAUAAUUAAUUAAAAUUUGAUGCAUGAAUUGAAAUUAGUUGUUUGGAUACAUCAUCAUGAUUUUAUGUUGAAUUAAAUUCAUGAUUUGGUUCCAUUGAUAAUGACUACAAGUAACUACUCCAGACCCACCAUUGUUAGUAUACAAUGAAUAUAACAAGUUAGGAAAAGUCCUGUCUAUUUCCAAUGAAAAAUAAAUAAAUAAAAAGUAAAAAUCUAAAGAUUGUGUUUUAGCGGUCAGUAAAGUAAAAUGAAAAUUAAGAAGAAAAAAAAUACUCAAACAAUUUCUUCUCAACUUUCUGUUAUAAAGACAAGUUCAUACUUAUGUUGAUGAGAGUUACUAAAUAUUCGAAUGAUAAUUAAGCCACGCACAAAGAAGGUAGAAGAUGAGAGUUUUUUUUUUUUUUUUAAAUUUUCCAUCGGAUAUUUAAUACCUGAUUUGGAAUUAACUAAUUCAAACACAUAUUAUGUAAGAUUUAUUGGAUAAAAAAUGAUUUUUCAUUCCUUAAACUCAAAUAUUAUGCUUUGAUUAAAGAUUAAUAUUCAUAUUCAUCCCAUCAGAACUCUCGAGACGAUAGAGAGGUCAGAAGUCUCAUCUAAAUUCAUUUUCCAUCAAGGAAUGAGUUGACUUAAAAAAAAAAACACUUCAUUUUCUUAUCUAUUUCACCCCCACUAAUAAUUGUUUUUUAUUCUUAUCCACAGAAUAUAUAUUAUUAUUAUUUUUGUAGGAAACAGCAUAUCUCUUUAUGGGCACCCAAAAUUCUUCUCAAAAUCAAAUCACACAUGAUUGUAUUUGUAUUAUUGUAUUAACACUUUCACUUUUCGUUCUCAUCUUAUGUAAUAAUUGAAACACAAAUUAUUUUACUAUUAAAUAAAAAGAAUACACUAUGCACGUGUUCAUUAAAUCCCACCUAGAGACAAAAUAGUACUGUAUUCAUUCCCACUGGUGGGUGAGUUUUGGAAAAACACUCUGAUCUCCUAUCAGAAAAAUUCCCAAUUCUUCUAUUGGAGCUUCAACUCUCACAUAAAGUUCUUGUAUCGAUAAUAUUCUUCGAGAAUCGCUCCAGUACGAUGGACCGAGGGUGGGGGUACGCCAGAAAAAAUGCAACGCGAUAGAAGAAUUCGCUCCACCGCGUAAGAUCCUCAAAUCAAAAUUAACCACGACUAUCAUCUGCGGUCCAUUUUCGUUCUUGUGUUUUUUUUUACACGCCUCAUUAAAAAAACAUUUAUCAAGAAGAAUUUUGACCAUCUUAUUCUUAUUUAUGUCUUAAUUAAGAUAUAUCCUGUUAAAGACAACUAUUUUUAAGAACCGCACUAGAUAAUUUGAGCUUUAUUAGGUUUAAGCUAUAAUCAUUCUAGAAUGGUUGUUACUUAGAAUAAUUAUUUCACUUGAGAUAGACCUUCUUACAAUUGCAUUUGCAUAUUAGUAUUAGUUAUAAGAGUGGAAAUUCAAAAACAACUCUUAAAAUCACUAUCUCUUUCUUUAACUCUAAAGGGCGUGAAUAUGUAGGUCAAGGAAGAAAGAACUGGAGAGGUGAGAAAGAACGGACAUUCCGCGAUUAAUUUUGAUUUCUUGUUUUUUUGUGAAAUUGGACACCAAGAUGGAUCAUUUAUAAUAGAACUAGCCUAAUUUAUCUUAAGAAAAAAUGGGCAAAAUAGAUAUCCCUAAGAAAAAACCGAUAAUUUUUGUUCUAUAUAACAGUGGCACACCCAUUUGUGCACACCUCGACUAUCCUAGAUGUUACCUUUCAUCAACACACGUAUCUAGUAACUCGAACCCCCCCCCCCCCCCCCCCACACCCACCCACCCCCCCCCCCCACCCCAACAAACNNNNNNNNNNNNNNNNNNNNNNNNNNNNNNNNNNNNNNNNNNNNNNNNNNNNNNNNNNNNNNNNNNNNNNNNNNNNNNNNNNNNNNNNNNNNNNNNNNNNNNNNNNNNNGUAACUCGAACCCCCCCCCCCCUCCCGACACACACACACCUACCCCCAAGGCCUAUAACAAGUGAAAUGAGAUCACCCAAUAUCUUGUCUCUGGAAUUCGAACCCUGAUAUCUCAGAGGUUUUCAUCCACUUCAUUGACCUCCAAGUCGCACCCUUAAGUUGGGUGGCACAUCAUUCAUCAAAACUAUUGUCCAAUCAAUGACGAAUCCCAAAAGUCAUGUACUCACUAUUGUCACUGAGACAUCAAAUAUGAAGUAAAAACAGAUGACCAAAGGGAUGUAAAUGCAGCCAAAUCUCCAGAAGGGGCCACAUACUACUGCCAAACAGAGAUAAAAACUGAAGCAAAACAGAUGAGCAGCACCAAAAUGAUUAGAAGCUAACAUGCACUAAAAGUUUGCAUUGGUGGUAACUCAGGAACUACAGCAUUACAGCUAAUGGCGCAACGAAGUUCUGCCAAAGAAACUGUACAGUAUGCAUAUGCUAUGUUACACUACGUUCAUAUAGCUGGCCUCGACUAGAUUGGAACUAAGCUGUAAUUGUUGUAAGCUCCUGCUACCAAAAAGGCUCCACCUAGAUGUGCAUCCAAAAAAAAAAAAAAAAAAAAAACAAACGGAUAUACCGUCUUCAAGUUUCUCUUUUAUAUCUGAUAUCUGCCUAAAGUAUCUGUUUUUGUUAGUUUUCACUGUAAAAUUCCCUUUCAGUCUUCAAACAAGUAGGAAAUCCUAAACCUUCCACAAUGGUAGAGGAGGGAACUCAUCUUCGUUCUUCAGCCUUAACGAAUGCUCUGCAUCCCUGAAAACCAAAUUAGAACUUCAGAUAGUAUCUAGUAACAAAGAUCAUACUACUCCACAGUCUAAAAAUAGAAAAAGUAGGGAACUUUUCCUACCUUCCUAGUUUACUACAAGCAGGUUGUGAAAGUUGCACUUUUUGUGGGACACUCGGAAUCAGGACCACAUCACGAGAAGUGUGUGAAAGCACAUCCCCAGAGAGAUUACCCAGAGAUCCAAAUUCAAUUCUACAUGAUGAAUUCGAGAAAGCAUUGGCAUGAGAUUCUUCGAGGAGGCCAUCAGAUUGGCUAGAAGAGGCUAACUUCUCAUGACCUUCAACAGAAGAUUUUACAGCUGAAAUCUCCUCUGAAUGAUUUGCAUCAGAAAAUGCAACACACUCGUGACUAUGGGUGCCACUAUGCAAAUGAAACUGACCAUGACUUCCUAAUGCCUUACUCUUAGUCCGUCCUUUACGUCUCUCCUGGUGAUAUUCCUGAAAGGAGAUACAAAAACCGCCUCAAGCUUUACAAAAAGAGAGAUACUUAUCUAAACAAACUGAGAUACCAAAAUAUGGGAAAUAAACUGGCCAGAUUGUAAGAGAAAACUACCGUAUUCAGAAAGUAGGUGCCAGUUCCUUGUGCCAUUUCUUUCUUGUCAGAACCUAAAGUAGCAUCAGAUGAUAGAGCAUUGCCAGAAGGUUGAGCAGCUGGUUUCACCACAAGCAUACCAUUCCCAUUUGUUUGCCAAAAUGAGUUCUUUCUAAGUGGUAUUGAUUGUCGGACAGUAUCCCAAAAGUUUUUGUUUUGAGAUGGAGAAGGUGAUGAAGGACUAUUAAGUACUGGUGCUGACAGAUAACACCCAUAGCAACACUGGCCAUAAAGCAAACUCCGUAUAUGGCUGUCAUAGUCCCCACUUAAGUCCACCAAAGGAUUUAUAGCUUCAAUAUCUCCAGCUAUGCUUGCCAAGUCCCUUUCCCCUAUAUCGAGAGUUACACUUUCUAAAACACUGGUCCUUGGACUUGAGAUUUCUGAACCACCAGACCAGAAGUCCUCACUAUAAUCAGUACCUGCUUGGUAAAUGCUGCUGCUCUCCUGAGGGCACUUUGGGGUUUCCACCCCCAAACAAGAAUCAGAUAGGUCACUUAGGCACAACUCAGGUUCACAGUUCCCAUUUUCAACAGAUGAUUUAUUGAAAUAGAACGGACGAGCAUAGUAAUGCUUCCAAGAAAGAGAACUCAUGGAAUUUCCAUUAGAACUACAGUCAUAUGAGCCAUUUGAAACACCGAGAUUUAGAGGUACAGAAGCUAAAGGAUCAUUUGCAUAUCUGUAUUGACAGAAUCCUGACACUAGUGCAUCAUCUGAAAAGGAGCCAUUUUCUGACACCAUCUCUGAAGAAGCUCCAUUCAUCAAACUACUCAACAACUCAUUUGAUAUUGAUGUAUAUGCCUUUUUCAGGCUAUCAUUCUCAAAAUCACCGUCUGAUGAUUUCAGAAGCAUUCUAGCAUUGGCAUAAAAUUCAGCAGGGGAUAAUGAAGAACAUGUGUCUUCAUCACCAAAAAUUAGGCUGGAAUAUUGCAAUUCAGCCACAUGAUUGAGUCUAUGCCUCUCAAUAGUGUUUGCAAAGAACUUCUUGAUCUCAUCAGCAACUUUGUCAUCUGGUGACAAAAGAAUAUCGCCAAGCUUGCGGGCCCCAUACUUAAAAGCUCUUUGUAUUCGAUAGAGAUUACCUGAAGGGAAUCAAAACAUAAUUUAUGCUUGAGACCGAGCAACAUAGACCACCUAAAUACUCAAAGCACCACAAUCAUGCUAUUUCCUGGAAAUAACAUGACAAGCACAUUCUAAGUUUCCAAAACUUCUCUUCUACAGGCAUACUAACUCUCAAAUAACUUAUUACUCCUGGGCAAGCAAUCGUUAAACAUAUUGCUCAUUAUCCAACUAGUGGUGGUAACAAGGCAAGGCUUAAGUACUUCUGGUAGCAACAAAAAAAAGAGAGAAUGCAAAGAUGAAAAGGAAGACUUGGAUAAGCAAACAAAACAAACUUGGUAAUGAUCCCAAUUGUCGCCAAAACAGCAGAAUCAGUUCAUAAGGAUCGGCCAUUCUUCAUAGUUUCUGACUACCCGGAGUACCAGAAAAGGAUAAAAAGAAAAACAAAGAAACAAAGGGGGACGGGUUUCCUAUAUAACAAACUUGUAAACCACAAAAUAUAAGUUAUUCAAGUUGUACCUUUGCUGACACUACGUCCAAGGUUAUUAUUUUCCUUCAAGGGGUCAAUUAUGUUUAGAUACUUCUGUUGAAAUGGUCGUGUGUCCGACUCAAGACCCCUGGAUGGAACUGAGAACAUUUCCGCACUGUUCCUUAAAAACUCCUCACUUAGCAAUAACUCGUUGCUUAUAUAAUCUGGCAUCUCAACUGCAGACAAAUAAACGGUGACUGUGAGAAAAAAACUGAAUAAAGAAAAAUAGAUUCUUCACACAACUAACCCAUAUACCACCCAAAAGCCAAAAAGAGGAGAAACAUCAAUCUCUUUGUAAGCUUAUGCCUAAGUGUGAGAAAAAAUCCUAGAAGGUUGUAGACAUCUGAAGGAGAUCACAAACUACAUCAAUGAAUUAUGAAAGGAAGAGCAUUGCUUACCAAAUAACUCAGGAAGGGAGGAUUUGCAUACUGGACCAUUCAAACUGAUACAAUAUUUGUCCCAAUCAAAUUUGCUGUAGUAAUCCAAAAAUCUAUAGAGAACCUAAAAGCAAGCAAAAACAGGAAUAUUAAAUACACUUAUACUUGCAUACCAAGCUCAAUGCACAAAGUAAAAAGGCACAAACAAGUAAUUACCGCUAGAGGACCAUUUAGCGAUGAAUGGAACAGUUGGAAUAUAAAUAAGACCAGUGUUUCCAAAGCAUAUGUAGAAAUCAGACCAUGAUGUGCACCAAGAACACGACUUUCAUAAUAGCACCAAGCCUUUAUCAAAAUAAUGCUACGUUUGAAUAGAUGAUUUUUACCAACAAGGCGAUCUACCUGCGGUCAUGAAACAGAGAAGACAAGAAUAAAAUUAGCUGUUCAUUUCCUCAUUUAACAUGAAACAGAAGAAUAAAAUCAAUUGAUCAGAGGGGGAGAUAUUUAAAAGGACAAUAAUCUGAAAUAGAUAAUAAACAACUAAACUCUAUCAGACAUUUGUUUAAAAAGUAAAAUGUAGCUCAUUUUAAGCACCAAUCGCAUAAAAAAAAGUUGGUCCAAAUACUGCAGAAUGGAGAGAUAUAUGAUGAUGUCAACACUCAGCUAUAUAUAUUAUUAAACGAGUAGAAGUUUACAACCACCUGGUAAUUAGAGAGGGAAUUGAGCAGGUAAGAAAUAACAAGAACCAAUUAACCAAAAGAUCCCCACUCUAUCCAACAGCAUACUGCUGUAGUUAAAUCAAUACCUAUAAGGCCAUAACUAAAAGAGGUGCAUUCUCUGUUUUAGAGAUUCCAUUAAACCCUUUUUCAGUUCCAGUUGUUUCCGCUUAACCAAUACAUGCAAAACAUCUUGUAUAUAAGAGUCUUUGAAAAAAAAAUUAAAGCACGCUCUAUCACAUUAACACAGUCAUUGACCCACAUCCGAGCACCUAUAGGAACAAGAUUAUUUGAAUGUUGACAGUUAGCUGGUAACUUACCUGCUCAAGGAAACAGAGUGUGCUAAGUCCUCCUAACUGAUUAAAGGAAAUAUCUAUCACAGUAUUUCGUACAAUACAUUUCACGAGCUUAACCUGCCAUGAGAAAUUCAAAACUUCUCAAACUUUAACAGAUAAUAAAUAAUCAAUUAAGCAUAAAUCUACUGAAUGACUAUGGAUAGCCGAACUAAAUAGAUAGUAGUACACCUCUAUCAAACAACAUUCAAUUACGAUAACGUUCAUCGAGCUACUAAAACUGCAAGCCNNNNNNNNNNNNNNNNNNNNNNNNNNNNNNNNNNNNNNNNNNNNNNNNNNNNNNNNNNNNNNNNNNNNNNNNNNNNNNNNNNNNNNNNNNNNNNNNNNNNNNNNNNNNNNNNNNNNNNNNNNNNNNNNNNNNNNNNNNNNNNNNNNNNNNNNNNNNNNNNNNNNNNNNNNNNNNNNNNNNNNNNNNNNNNNNNNNNNNNNNNNNNNNNNNNNNNNNNNNNNNNNNNNNNNNNNNNNNNNNNNNNNNNNNNNNNNNNNNNNNNNNNNNNNNNNNNNNNNNNNNNNNNNNNNNNNNNNNNNNNNNNNNNNNNNNNNNNNNNNNNNNNNNNNNNNNNNNNNNNNNNNNNNNNNNNNNNNNNNNNNNNNNNNNNNNNNNNNNNNNNNNNNNNNNNNNNNNNNNNNNNNNNNNNNNNNNNNNNNNNNNNNNNNNNNNNNNNNNNNNNNNNNNNNNNNNNNNNNNNNNNNNNNNNNNNNNNNNNNNNNNNNNNNNNNNNNNNNNNNNNNNNNNNNNNNNNNNNNNNNNNNNNNNNNNNNNNNNNNNNNNNNNNNNNNNNNNNNNNNNNNNNNNNNNNNNNNNNNNNNNNNNNNNNNNNNNNNNNNNNNNNNNNNNNNNNNNNNNNNNNNNNNNNNNNNNNNNNNNNNNNNNNNNNNNNNNNNNNNNNNNNNNNNNNNNNNNNNNNNNNNNNNNNNNNNNNNNNNNNNNNNNNNNNNNNNNNNNNNNNNNNNNNNNNNNNNNNNNNNNNNNCCCCCCCCACGCACGCGCACCACACCAAAAAAAAAGAAAUAGGCAUGCUAAUAGCUCCCCUAUGCUUAGACUCAAGUAUCCAUCUUCCAUAGGUGGCAGGAUAUCAAGAUAAAAACUAUUUGUAGCUGUGAAAGAAUUGUGAAAUACUUCAUCCAACCCAGUUCGUUUUACAGACUUUGAAGGUUUGAGUAUACUUCUGUCAUUAGAGUUAGGAAAGAACCUCAGCAUCAAUAAAUUGGGGAUCCUUGACAUCAUACUCAGUAUUUUCCUUUAGCUCUUCUUCCUGCAGAACAGCGAGAACAUCACGGGCUAAUGUUUCUUCAAUAACAGGACUGCCAAAAACAGUCAAAUCAAUGUCACCAUCAGGAAGGUAGGUCUUCAGUGGCACUGAUCCAUAUGAGAAAACCUGUAUGACAAACAAGUAUAAUCAGCAAAACUCAAUUAAGAUAAUAGAUAGCGAGAUAUACCUUAAAACAGUUAGAAAACAUAAAACAGAAGUGACAUGCUUCAAGCACAAUAUGUGAUGAUAAACUUAGGUUUCAAGUUCAAGCACACCAGACUAUGCAAUAUUGAAGCUGAUGCCAACUAAGGAAGCAGAAUGUAAUUUGAAGCAGGGGUGAUCCAGGAUUUAAACACUAUGGGUUCGAGUUCGGAAUUCCAACACAUAACAUUUGAUUUACUGGAUAAGAAAUCAAUAAUCUGUCCUUAUUUAGUGGGAUUUUAGCACAUAUACAAUGUCCAAUCCAAAGCUACUUGGUUUGGAAUUCUACUAUGCAAUGUAUGCUAGAUCCGCCCCAGAUUCAGAGAGAGAAAAAAACAUUCAACUAUUCUGUGGACAAUAAAGCUAGAGAAGAUUUGAACAUUUCAAAUGUAUAGAGUUGUUCAAGUUAGUCGGCUGGAACAAAGGGGUUCAUUUUUUACUAAGUUAUGCAUUAUGUUAAAACUGUAGUAGAAUUAAAAGAUGAAUCACACACUUCGGUCUUAAUCUGAUAUGUUUAAUUAACAACUAAAUUAGUUUCCUGAUCUUGAAUUGACUCAGAGGUGUAUAAAGAACACUUAAAGAGACAAGAAACUACUUGACACGCAAUGAAAGAAAAAACAGCUAUGGAAGUAAGUGUUGUCAGCCUCAUCAAUAAGGAAUCAGCUUACACUUUUACUAGCAGAAAUAAAUUAGUGAAAUAUCACUCCUGAAGUAGUGCGGCAAACAUUACAAUGAAAUAUCCUGGUUUACCGAAAAAUAGAUGAACGAGUAAGAAGUAAAUCUGCCAGAAGCGAAUCUUCAGCUUAACACUACAAUCUGCAGUAGAACUUUAAUUUUUUUAAAAUUGGCCACCAACGGGGGUGGCCUAGUCAUGCAGUUGAAGAGCUAAAGAGACAACCUUCAGAGCCAAGGUCCUAAUCUCAUCAAAGUGAAACUUAUAUUAAUUGAAUUCUUCCCAUCUUCCUAAACAUUGAUGACUCGGUACAUGUGCUGGUGUGAAGCAGCAAGGACUAGGCGGAUUAGUCGAGGUGUUUGUAAGUAGGCACAAACAGCAUUUUGUUAUUACAAAAAAGAAAAUCUCUUCCAAUCCUGCUUUAAUUACACGUCAUUUGAGUCGAGGGUCUACCCGAAACAACACUCGACAGACCUCACUUGUGGGAUUGCAAUAGGUAUGUUGUAGUUGUUGUAAAAAAGGAACGCCGCUAAUAAUGUAGUAAAACGGUCGCAGUAAAUAGCGAUUUUGUUCUCUUCCAACUACAAAAAACAAAAAUCUCUUCCAAUCCUGCUUUAAUUAAUUUGAGUCAAGGGUCUACCCAAAACAACACUCAACAGACCUCACUUGUGGGAUUACAAUAGGUAUGUUGUAGUUGUAAAAAAGAAACGCCGCUAAUAAUGUAGUGUAACGGUCACAGUAAAUAGUGAUUUUGUUCUUUUCCGACAACCCCCACCCCCCACCCCUUCUUUCUUACCAUCUUAGAUUAGUAAAGUAUCCGUUGAGAUAGAUCGUAAACGACUAAGUUUACCCUUAUCUGUUCAGCAGAUAUGAAAAAACCAUCCAAGAAAAUAAUGUAGUACAACGGUCGCAGUAAAUAGCGAUUUUGUUCUUUUCGAACUACAAAAAAGAAAAAAUCUCUUCCAAUCCUGCUUUAAUUACACGUCAUUUGAGUCAAGGGUCUACCCGAAACAACACUCAACAGACCUCACUUGUGGGAUUACAAUAGGUAUGUUGUAGUUGUAAAAAAGAAACGCCGCUAAUAAUGUAGUGUAACGGUCGCAGUAAAUAGCGAUUUUGUUCUCUUUCGACAACCAUCCCCCCCACCUUUCUUUCAUACCAUCUUAGAUUAGUAAAGUAUCCGUUGAGAUAGAUCGUAAACGAUUAAGUUUACCCUUAUCUGUUCAGCAGAUAUGAAAAAACCAUCCAAGAAAAGGUAACACACUGUUUUGUAACCCCCAACAAGUUGACCAAUCCCCCAACCCCCAACACCAUCCAAAAAAAAAAAACAUACCAAGAGAACAUCUGAUGAGUUAUCAAUUGAAAGCUAAAAUAACAUUUCGAUUGAAUUGGAACAGCAAAUAGACAUGCAAAUUCAGGAAUCAACAGCUAAAAUCUCAAUUAUGCAAUCAAUUAAUCAAAUCAAAUUAAAUUCAGGAAAAAAUGACCUCGCAUCCAAGAGUACAUCUGAUGAGUCUCUGCACAUAAUCAACAACAUCUUUCCUCUUCUCUUCAGUAUCAAGAGUCGGAUGAACACAAUUCACAACCUCUUGUACAGCUUCUUCAGCAACAGCCCAACUAUCCUCCGUAACUGCCGAUGGAUCAGGACCCAACAUUUCCACCCAUCGAGGCUCCAUUUCAACCCGGUUUACGACUCCACAAGAACCCAUAACCCCCCUUCCUUAUCAACCAAAAAAAAAAAAUUAAAAAAAAAUCCUGAUUAAUACCCAAGAAAAUUGUAGGGUUUUAGAGGCCAUUGACAACAUGGAAUGUUCUAGACAAAGUAAACAAAUGGGUAAAUGGGGGAAAAUGAAGAAAAAAUAUUGCUAUAUAUAGUAUUUAUGUCAUGUAUAUUUUUUUUGGAUAUCGGUAAUCUGAUUAUCGUCUUUAAUGUCAAGAAGAAAAAGGGAACAAAAAAUUCCGGAGAAGGAGACAAUUCUCAAUUGCCCCCACCUCCCCCCAUAACCCUACCACCCCUACCCCUCUCUGUUCUUGUUUUCUUCCUCAAAAUCCAAAAAAACUUUCUUCUGCUUUUCUUCACAUCCGUUUCUACCUGCAAUUACGUGCAAUUCUUGUAUACAUAUAUAUAUGUUUUGGGUUUUUUUUUUCUUCGAGAUUACUCUGUUUUCUGUCGGACACCGGUGAACUCUACGGCGGAACACGGUGGCGCAAUGUUCAAAUGCCGUUAUUCAUAACUUAUCUAAUUUUUGCUUUACGACUUUAUAUAUCCCGAUCAAACUUUAUUAUAUAUACUAAAAUUUAUGUGACUUUUCACUUUUCGAAAUUCGAGUUAAUUAAACGUUAAAUGUUAGUCAAAUUAAUUUUCGCAAAGUAAAAACAAGUCAUGGUAUUAGUAAUAAUACGUAAUACAAACUUACUUUCGAUUAAUAACCAUUGAUUGAAAACAUCAUAUUUGUUUGUCUUGUGAAAAGAUUUAAGACUAUUUGGAAAGAAUUUUUAGAGCAAAUAAUUAGAUGUUAACUAGUAUAGAGAUAUUUGAUUAUUAUUUUUCAUGAUUUUAUGCAAAUAUGGGAUGUUUAUAUAUCAAUUACUUUUUUUUCCUAGAUUGAAUUUUUUUAUUUAUUAUAUUCAAGUCAAAGAAAUUCAUAGAAAAUUUUAUUGUUUUUUUGUGUCAAAUAAUAUUUGAUAACAUAAAUUUAAAAAUACUUUAUUUAUUAAGACUUUAAUUUAUAGAUUUGACUCUACUGUAGCCCCACUUUAAACAAAUUCCCUUUUAUGGAAAAUUCCUAAAAUAAAAAGAAAGAGAAUCUGGAACUCUUCUUCCUCGAUUUAUUCCUAUGAAUAAUUAGUUAGGAGAAUAUUAUUUUUCCUUUAUUGGAUAGGAUAAAUAACAAAAUAAAUGUUUUAGCAUUUAUAAUUUUACUUUAAGUAGACGUUUGAAUAUAGAUUUGACUGAUACUUGGAAAAAUUAAAAGUAUUUUUAAAGUUGAAAAAUAAUUUUCAACGAUUGAAAUUGUAUUUGAACAUGCAUUUCAAUUUUAAAAACCCACGUCUCCAAUUGAUCAAAUUUGAAAAAAAAGUCAAAACGAAAAGUCCAUUCCAAUAUAUAACCAAACAUUGCUUUAAAAAUAUCUUUUCUUAAAAAAAAAAAACAUUUUCAAAAUAUUAUAUUUAUACGUCCGUAGAAAAUUUAAAAAAAAACUUCUAUUAUUUUUAUAUUUUCUUUUCUAUAAUUUUAAUUUAUAUAUAUAAUAUUGAUAUAGAUGAGUUUAAAUUGAAUAGUAUUAUACAUACAAAUUUAUAUAGUUGAUUUUAACGUGUUAGGGAUCGAGCCAUAAUUGCUAUCGUUGUUAUCGCAGUGUUUCAACAUUUGUGAAAUCGAGAUGAGUCAAAAUUAUUUAAUUUCAUUGUUGACAUUAAUUUUUUUUCUUCUUCUAAUACGACUAGACAAACAUGAUUUCAAAAUUCAGAUUUUUGGUCUGGACCAUCUUGAUAUUUUUAGACUUAGAACUUUAAUCAUUUUUCACAUGCAUCUCAUUUUAGCAUUAAUUAAUAUAUUCCUGUACUAUGAUUUAAUUAACAAUUUGAGAGAGAAUAAAAUGGCUUAGCACUUUAAAAAUCAUUUGUCACAUGCAUCUCAUUUUAACAUUAAUAUAAUAUCCUCGUACUAUGAUUAAACAAAUUGAGAAAGAAUAAAAUACCAUAAAAAAACCCGUAAGGAUAAUUAGGUUGGUACAUAGAUAGUAGUACUUAAUAAAGGAAGUCACACAUCAAUUUCUUAUAUCAACGUUUUCUCGAUCUAAUUUGUCACAUUGAAUUUGCCUAGUACAAGAAUUAUUGCACAUGAGUGAAUUUAUCUGAUGCAUGCACACCUAAAAAAUAAAAAUGACGAAUCUCCACGAUAAUUCCAAAAUAAUCCACCAAAAUAAAAUAAUUAAUUAAUUAUCGUUUAGAUAAUGAAAAAACAAAUGAUUUAUCACCUAAAUGUGUAACAUAGCAAGUAAAAAGAUCAACCAUGUGUAACAUAUCAAGUGCCACCAUGUGAAUACCUACUUGCUUGUCGCAAGUCGCAACAUAAGUUUUCAGUCGAUUUGUCUUUUAUUUAUUGACAAUGUAAAAAAUAUAUAUUUAUAUAAUUUAUACAGUAAACGUUAAAAGAAUAUUAAAUUUAUUAAAACAUGAGUUUUAUGACAAUUUUGUCGUUUACUUAUCGAUAGUGUAAAAAGUAUAUUUACUACGGUAGACGUUAAAAAAAUAUUAAUUUUAUUAAAAACAUGAGUUUUAUGUCAAUUUUGUCGUUUACUUGUCGAUAGUGUAAAAAGUAUAUUUACAUCAUUUAUACGGUAGACGUUAAAAAAAUUAUUAAUUCUAUUAAAAACAUGAGUUUUGUGUUAAUUUUGUCAUUUACUUAUCGAUAGUGUAAAAAGUAUAUUUACAUCAUUUAUACAGUAAACGUUAAAAAAAUUAUUAAUCCACAUUUAACAUUCACAAAAGAAUUUGCAAUAUUAUUUUGUGCAAAGUUUAUUGUUCACAUCUUCGCUUAAAUAAGCAAUGCUAUUUACUAUAACACAUAUUUUCUGAAUUGGUAAUCACGUGCAACACACGUGUCAAAAAAUUAGUUUUAUUAAAAACAUGAGUUAUGAGUCAAUUUUGUCGUUUGCUUAUCGAUAGUGUAAAAAGUAUAUUUACAUCAUUUAUACAGUAAACGUUAAAAAAUAUAUUAAUUUUAUUAAAAACAUGAGUUUUGAGUCAAUUUUGUCGUUUACUUAUCGAUAGUGUAAAAAGUAUAUUUACAUCAUUUAUACGGUAAACAUUAAAAAAAUUAUUAAUUUUAUUAAAAACAUGAGUUUUGAGUCAAUUUUGUCGUUUACUUAUCGAUAGUGUAAAAAGUAUAUUUACAUCAUUUAUACAGUAAACGUUAAAAAAAAUAUUAAUUUUACUAAAAACAUGAGUUCUGAGUCAAUUUUGUCGUUUACUUAUUGAUACUAUAAGAAGUAUAUUUACAUCAUUUAUACGGUAAACGUUAAAAAAAUUAUUAAUUUUACUAAAAACAUGAGUUUUGAGUCAAUUUUGUCAUUUACUUAUCGAUAGUGUAAAAAGUAUAUUUACAUCAUUUAUACGGUAGAUGUUAAAAAAAUUAUUAAUUUUAUUAAAAAUAUGAGUUUUGAGUCAAUGUUGUCGUUUACUCAUCGAUAGUGUAAAAAGUAUAUUUAUAUAAUUUAUACAAUAAACGUUAAAAAAAUUAUUAAUCCACAUUUAACAUUCACAAAAGAAUCUGCAAUAUUAUUUUGUGCAAAGCUUAUUGUUCACAUCUUCGCUUAAAUAAGCAAUGCUAUUUACUAUAACAUAUAUUUUCUGAAUUGGUAAUCACGUGCAACGCACGUGUCAAAAAACUAGUUUUAUUAAAAACAUGAGUUUUGAGUCAAUUUUGUCGUUUACUUAUCAAUAGUGUAAAAAGUAUAUUUACAUCAUAUAAACAGUAAACGUUAAAAAAUAUAUUAAUUUAUUAAAAACAUGAGUUUUGAGUCAAUUUUGUCGUUUACUUAUCGAUACUGUAAAAAGUAUAUUUACAUCAUAUAAACAGUAAACGUUAAAAAAAAUAUUAAUUUAUUGAAAACAUGAGUUUUGAGUCAAUUUUGUCGUUUACUUAUCAAUAGUGUAAAAAGUAUAUUUACAUUAUUUAUACGAUAAACGUUAAACAAAUUAUUAAUCUUACUAAAAACAUCAGUUCUGAGUCAAUUUUGUCGUUUACUUAUUAAUAGUGUAAGAAGUAUAUUUACAUCAUUUAUACGGUAAAUGUUAAAAAAAUUAUUAAUUUUACUAAAAACAUGAGUUUUGAGUCAAUUUUGUCGUUUACUUAUCGAUAGUGUAAAAAGUAUAUUUACAUCAUUUAUACGGUAAAUGUUAAAAAGAUUAUUAAUUUUACUAAAAACAUGAGUUUUGAGUCAAUUUUGUCGUUUACUUAUCGAUAAUGUAAAAAGUAUAUUUACAUCAUUUAUACGGCAAACGUUAAAAGAAUUCAUUGAAUGUUAUUAAAAGUCGCGCGACAAAAAAGCUUAUCUUUUUUUCACAUAUACAGUGAGAUAGAGAUAUCGUUCCUACACGUUUAAGGAAAAGCCAAACUUAUACAGAGUAUCAUUUUCGUCGUUUUUCAUAAUUCCGUUACACAGUGGGUCACACACAAGUUUUAAAGAUUAUGUCAUCUUUACAGAUGUUCAUGAGUCGGUUUGAGUCGAUUGUUGAUUAAAUACUAUUAACAUAAUUUUACUCGAUGUAACAAGCCACUUGUCACAAAAAUAUAUCCAUAAAAUAUUUUCAAAUGACCUGAUAAUGUAAAAAAAGAAUCGUAUUUUAUAAGUUUAAAUAGCGUAGACCACAAAUUUAUUGGGUCACGGUUUAAGCGUGUAUACUUUCUAUGACAUGACGGUAUACAAAAUAAUUCUGUUUGUUUGGAUAAUGUCUUUUUUUAUGUAAUACAACAAAGUGACAAAUCCUUUUUAAGUAUGAAAAGGAUAAGGAAUCUUGAAAAAUUGCAAGGGGGACCAUAUCAUAAGUUGUUUAAUAGUAACUCUUUUCUCGGAUCAACUUACAUUCAUCUCGAUUAAUUUUAUGAAAUAUGUUACCUUCCAUCAACGAAGACAUUUUGAAUGUUUUUAUUUCGACAAAAAUUUAAAAAAUCUCAUAAUUCUCAACUACUUUAUUGAUUUCAUAUUGCAUACUUCAAAUCACUUGGAUUGAAACGUAAUUGUAAAAUUUGGCAAAAUACGAAAGGCUUGUCAAUUAUCAUAGUGCAUAAUCAAUGAUGAAAUGAUUAUUAAGUUGCAUUAGCCAAUUAUUAUUUUUCAUUAUUUUUAAGCCAUAAAGAAGGACGAAGCAAUUUCAUCCUCUUUCCCUACUUUAAUUUUCUCAUUGGAGACUCAUUUUUAAUCAAGUUUGAUUGUUUGAUCAAUAAAUUUGAUAUUCCAACGUCGAUCACUAUAAAACUAAACACUAAUUUAUACGUCAAUACUUUCUGAAAACAGAAUGGAGUUGAUUUCUCAACCACUCAACUAGUAAUAGUAGUUAUUAUCUUAGAAUAUCAUUUUCUCUGUUGAAGAAAACUAGAUUUAACAAGAAAAGUGGUAUUCUGAAAUAAUAAGUAUUAGUUGAGUGACUAUCCGAGAAAUGAACCUAAAAAGAACGGCUGGGAAACCACAUCCACAACCCAUAACCUUCUAUUUUUAACAAGUAUUCUGCAACUUUUUAUAAGCAUUAAUAAGAAAAAAGAAUGUCUUCCCAACUUUUGUAUCACAAUCAGUGUAGUGCAAUCACCAUGAGUUAAUCUAAACUAAAAAGGGACAGCCCGGUGCACUAACUCCCGCUAGGAGUUAAUUUAACUACAACUUCCUAAUAGGACAACUUGCUAUUAAGGUAACAGUCUGAAAGGAUACUUAUUCCUUCUUACCUCGAGCAAUAUCAACAAGAUAUCUAUUCAAAUGCUGGCCAAAAAUCUUGGUAGAGAAUGACUCAGCAACGUGUUGACGAGCAUCUUGCCCCAUUUUUUCAGACAUGUGAGGAUCCUGAAUAAAAUUAGACAUUGCUGAAGCAAACUCUCGUGGGCUAGGGUCACAGAGGAAGCCCGUCACGCCAUGCUUUACUGUCUCCACUGGACCCCCACUAUUGCAGGCAAUAACAGGUUUAUAGGCUGCCAUUGCUUCCAAAGGAACAAUGCCAAAAUGCUCAUCCUACUCUUCCAAAAAAGGAAAGAAAAUGUCAUCCUACUUUCAAGGUGAAAAAAACAUGGGAAAAGACGGAGAUGCUCCUUCUAACAGCAUACUCCAAGGUAAGACAAACAUUCCUCCAACAAGUCACUCUCGAGAAACAUACCUUUGGUGUAUAAAGAACACAUAGGCAUUGGCCAAGGAGUGCAUUUCUCUCAGCAGUAGAGCAAGAUGUGAUGAAUCUGACCCGCUGAGAAACACCUUCCCUUUCUGCCAACUUUUUCAGUUCUUCUAGAUACUCAACAUUCUCUCUAAGGCGAUUAUCAAAGCCUCCUGAAAUAAAAGCAGGAAGAACUCUAUUAGCAUGCAAGAUGAUUUCUUUUGAGUAUAUAUUCAGCCACUGAUGGUAGACAACGGGUAUCUUGGACUCGUUUAUUGAAGUAUACUUUAAAUCCAUCUAUUCAAGGUAUUAAGGGCACAUAAAAAGAAAAAAAAAAGGGCUUAUCAUCAAAGGGAGACAAGCACCCAAAAAAGUCCUAUAGCUAACUUGAUCAAUAACAAGUAGCAUCUGAUUUUUAUAUAGUUUCAGGGCACUAAAUAUCCUUAUCAUUUACAUGAGAUCAGACAGGUUCAUAUAUCUUAUUGGCUCUAGAUAAACUCCGCAAAACCUAAACAGCAAGAUAAAUAAGGCAAAUCAACCAUACAAGAUGAAUACCAACAGCAAAUAAAAGAGAUGACAGAAGCAAAACAGAGAACAAGGAAAUGUUGGUGGAUAAUGCAGCAUACAUUGAAGUUGAAGAAUUGAAGAAACUUGCCUGCAACAGUCAAGGAAACAUCAUUCAUGUUAACUCCUUGAUGAUCAUGGACUUCAUGGGCGUGAACCAUGGCAAAGGCAGAUAUUGCCAAUUCUAUGUUCUUUUUUCUCUCAAAUCGAUUGAUGGAUAGAAAGUUCAGCCUAAAAGAAAUGAACAACAGAAGUUAUCACUGUAUUGCUCCAAUUUUAUCAGAUGCCCCUCCAAGGGACAAAGGAAUAACUGAAAUGACACUACCAUCUGAUAUAUUAGUUGUGUUUCUUUGAGCUCUAUGGAGUAACCUUCUCUCUACCUCCCUACUAUCCCUCCCCUCCUCCCUCUAUUUUAAGAGCGCAAGGAAGGGCAGGAACUCCAGGGCAGAUGCAUUUGAAAAUUAAAAAGAAACAAAUAUUGAAAUCUGUUGUGUUAUUGCAAUCAGACCUCGAACUAGAAGGUACCAAGAGAUGGAAAGGUGUCUCUUACUUGAUGGCAUCAGGUUUCUCAAACUGAUCAACAUUGACAGCUGGGUACAAAACAGCUGGUUUAAUCCCACAAGCAUCUAGGUUCUUGAAAGUUGAUGCAAAAGUAGAUGCUGUAAACCUGCUGUUAACCAGAAUCAAAUCUGCCAUUCCUAUAGUUUAACCAAGCAAUCAAAGAAGAAGCAGAUGUUUGAACAGAUAAGAAAACACAAGUAAAACGUCGAUAACAGAUAAACAACACCACGGACAGAAGGCAAAAUGUCAACAAAAACCUGUUGUUAUUUCUUCUAUGAAGUCAAUAGGUUUCCGAUAUAUCCUCCUAAGAAUAGUUGUACGUUGCGCCAGCAAAAGAUCUGGAAAAUGGCAAUAGAAUACAACCUGCAUGAGGUAUAAACUUCAUAUAUAUCUCAAUGAUCAUUACAUAGCAGUUGAUUUCAUCAAAUCCAUCAAAAUACCUUAGCAGACUUCUUUAACUUCAAUAUCGGAACGACAACAGAGACUUGAUCUGCUAGAAUUACAUCAAAUGAAGGCCACAUAAACAACAAGCAGAGAGCAACAAACAUGCACCGCAAGUAUGCACAUACUGCAUGAAGCCGAUAAAAGAUAUGUCGAGGAAGAAAAGCACCAUAAACUGUAAUAUCAAACACACCUGUAAAGUGGUAUUCACAUCAGUAAGGGCACAAUGGAUGUUUGUUUAGCAUAUGACUUGAGUAUAGAAAGUAAGAUUUCUAACCAGACAGAGUCUCCUCAAAACAUCGAUUUUUAUCAUGAUGUGAAGUAAAAAUGUGAACUUUAUGCCCUAAAGAAGCAAGUUCCAUAGCAGCAUCAACAAUUAGCCUUUCAGCUCCACCUAAACAUGAUAAAAUAUGCUUCCAUUAACCCAUAGAUCUGCUCAUUGACGCAAAAAAUUAUUAUACCCAUUUUUUUGAAAUUUAUGAUCUUCUACAAAUAACUCAUUUGAUCAAGGAUUCAACAAAUUGCAAUGAUAAACAGAUCUAUGAAAGAAAUAUAAAUAUGUGUAGAUAAUAAUUUACCGAUUCCGAGAUCAGGAUGGAUUAUCGCGAUAUUCAUCUUCGAGCUCCCUUUUUUCUCCAUUGUUGUUUAUGAGAAAAAGCGGGUGUAGGGGAAAAUAGAGAUAAAAAACGGGUCGGGUCAAUAGCCGGAGAUUGCUGAAGGAGAAGAGGUGGCGGAGAAAGUCAUCCGAUUGCUUUACUUCGCCGGCGCUGGAUGUAAAAUUACACUUUUAGUCCGUCCUGAUUUUUUUUUUAAAAAUAAUAUAAUUUUAAUAUUCUCAUUAUGCAAUUUGAAAAAUAUUCUUUAUUUUCUGAAAAUUUAUGUUUCAAUAAAUAAUGUCAUGUAAAUUAAAUUAAAAUGAAAGAGAUGUUUUUAUUUUUGUUGUCGUUGGGUUGUUUUCUAAUAGGGCACACAUUAAACAAAUGCUUAAAUAAGACCGAAAGGGGUUAUCUAAGUGGUAAACAUCUUUUGCCUCGACUUUAAGUUAUGAAUUCGAAUCACUAAAGAAGCAAAAGGGAGCUCCUAGAAGAGGUAAAAAUACAAAAUGAAACUUGGAUAUCAUUUAUCGAGUGAGAAAUACUAAAAGGAUUGUUGGCCCUUGAAUAAUUAUUAAUCCCUCUAUCCCAACGACACAGUUAAAAUUUUGAAUUUUAAUUUCUAAAUUCUAACUUGUGAAUUUGAACAUAGAAACCUUCAGCCUUUUAAAAUAAUAUAUGUAUAUUUAAAAAUUACUAUAAAUCACAAUAAUUAGUAAUGUAGAGAAUUCUGUCUGUCUUAGCCUUUCUCCUCCCCCUUGCUACUCCUUCAACUUACCCUAUUUAAUUUUAUUUAGGCAAUUUUAUGUAGUCACCUUAAAUAGGGGAAAAGGUGAAGAGAAAAUUUACAUCAUCUCAAUUAAAUAUUGAAAGUUACUAUGUAAAACCCUCAUAUAUGGGAAGAGACAAGAACUAAAAUAAUUAAAGACGAGCAAAAUGAACAAAGAAAUCUAAUCAAUUCGAAUUCAACAUCUUCAUUUGCUUCAUAUGAACAAAAACUAAUCCAAGAAAGAAAUAAUUUGAGAGCUGCUGAGGAACAUAAUACUCAACUAGGUAAAUUAGUAUAGUAUAUAAGUGUGUCUAACUAGUACAAGUCUCGAUAACAAAAAUGCUAAGUUGCGACAGCUAUCCUUAUACUUCAAAUCUACCAACUGCAAUGCAAAAUAGAAAACUAUAUUCUUUUCAAAUGUUGUAAGUUGUAACACAUUGUGUGACGUAUGGAAAACUUUGCAGACACAUCUUCAUUGCUGAAAACGUCUACCUAUACUCUGAUCAAACGGCUAGCCAAUAGCCAACCGUUAGAAGCUUUAUACGUGCUGAUCCUUGCUAGAAUUCCAGCUAGGGGCCUGAGCAACAACACUAUCUGGUAAAUUGCCAGAGCCUUUUUCAACAUUUAUUAGAGGAUCGGUUUCACUUUCGUUUACCUUCAACCACAGAAACAACAGAGAGAAUUAGUAAAUCUAUGUUCUAAAUGCAUAAAGGAAAGAUGAUAGUAAAACACAAGUCCCCACCAGCUUCUGGAACCGUGACCAUUCGGUAUAAGCACUAGAAGAGUAGUGGUUUAAAAUGAAGGGAGCAUAAGGUUUUAGAGUUUACUUUUCUUCCAAAUCUGCCUCUCCCAUGGCCCAUGCCACUAACUAAUUAAACCAUUUUGCAAGUUUCGUUUUCUUUCCGUCUAGAAGUGCAGUGUAAUGAGGUGACACACAAUGAGGCAGUAAAGGGAGCACAAGAAUUUAAUGACAACUUUCUUCUAGAUCUGCCCCUCUAACGACUUAUGCCACUAACUAAACGAUUUCAGAAGAAAUAUUGCAAAUCUAGUACUAGUGUAAUGAGGUGGAAUGAAGGGAGGUAGUAUUGGACAUCGUUAACAAUCAUCUUGCAAAUCAAGAUAUUGCACAAGUUGGUGUAUGAUAAUAUGAAAUACCUUUUUUGCCUAGCACAAUGUGGAACACCAAAAAACAAAGGUGUAAUACCUGAGACAGAAGGGAUGCAGCCUCUAUAGACUUCUGCUGGCUCUCAAUGGAACAACAAUAUGAAUAGAGUAUCAUCCCAAGCAUAGCAAUGACGAUACCCAGAAUGUUUCGCCAGCUGAAGGGAUCACGAAGUAGAACAUACCCAAAGGCCAAAACAAGACAUGUUUUUAGAUGCCCAAGGACCUGAUAGGUGACUGGAGAAGUCUUGCCAAUUACCAAAAAAGUACUGAAGUUCACAGAGACGGAUAUAAGGCAGGAUAGAACAAUAAAGGCCUGCCAUCAACACGUUGAAGUUAACAAAUAGUGCUAAAUGCCAAUAUCUAGAUUAAAAUUGAAAAUGAUUUUCUAACUUACCACCACAUUUUGUGUGUAGUUGAAAGCAAAUACAUUCUGAUUUGUCAAAAGCCAAUCUAAAAAUGGUCCUACUAUAAACAAAGUAAUUGAUUGAUAAGGACAAGAUUGAUACAGGAGCUGGGUUGAAGAAACCUUGAACUUCUUCUGGAUGGUAUUCGUCAUCUAAGAAGAUGGGUUAAGAUAUCCAAGCAAGAGAUGAUAUGAUGUAAUAGCUGUGAACUAUAGGUCCAACAUCAUUUUCUAACACAUACAAAACAACUUCCAUAAAAAUUUAAAGUCUUAUUUGCCAAAAGUAAGGUUGCUAAACUGGGGAUUUAUGAAGUAAGCAGAGCCAGUAAGGGAAAGAACUGAAAAAGAUUGAUUGACCAUUCAGUAAAGGAUACAAUCUGCGCGAUACAAGUGGUGACAAUUGCAAACAUAGAUAAAACAGAACCCAGUAAAUUGAGCUGCAAAUCAGUUACUGUUGCAAUUCCAACCCCAAAGAGAAGAACGGUAAGUGCAAGCUGGAUAUUCCUACUGCAAAUCAUAGUUGAGACAGGGAUCAAAUCGUUACUAAAAAUGUACAACAAAAAGGGUAAUUUCAUAAAUGCUUAAGCAAAAGAGUAAAUGAAUGCAGAAUGUUAUUUAGAUAAAAGUAUCAAUUUAUAGGGCAAUAGCAUCACUCCAGACCAAGAGAUACAUAGAGGUUACUUGGGUCAAAACUGUGGAGCCAAAGAAGCUCUUUUCGUGCACAAAGAUACUUCACUUGAGUAAAAAUUUAUCUUCAUAUGCACCCAACCUUUCAGAUAGUUCCCUCACUUACUGCUCCAUUACUAUUACAUUUAUCUGAUAAUCCACCAGUCACUUGCAACCUUAAAAUUGUGUCUAGCUCAGCCUUAAAUAAGUAGUCAACAGUUGCAUUAAACAAGAAAGACUUUCCUUGAAAAAGAGUUCCACUCAUGUUAACAAGGAACAUUGCAUAAAAAUAGGACAAACUAUCUAAGAGUGAUAAAACCAAAAAAAGAAAAUUAAUAAAAAUAGACAAGGUGGAAUGGGUCUUUAAAUUAUCAAAGACCCAAAAUAAGAAGAGAUGGCUUGGCUCCAAGAAUCUUAAUGAUCAGUAACAUUUUACAGGAAUAUAUCAAAAGCACAACUUGUCAAAAAACUUGGUCUUCUACUAUCUCAUUUAACCGUAUUAGAAGCCAGUGAAAUGCCAGUGAAAUCAUUUCACUGGCUCAACCUUUAACUAUGGAUGAUGGUUGGCCCUAAAUCUAGUAUAGAAACGAUUGUAUAUGGGAAUAAUGUUAUACCUCUGAAUUCAACUUUCUAGAUAAGGACAAGACAUAGGGUUCAGACUCUUAAUUGUUCCAAGAAAUUACUUCUGGUUUGACGGUUCAAGCAAACCACAUGUUGACGAAAAGUUUCUCCAAUGUUAUGUUCCAAGCUUAAUAAAAUGAGAACAAAUUCCUAUGUUUGAUAUGCUUGGAAGAGAAAAUUUCUCAAAAAUAGAUGUGAAGUAAAUGUAGUGUGAUCCUCUAUCUACCUAGUGUAACAUAACUGAUUUUUUAAGAACUUUUUGUGGAAAUAAUAAAGUCAUCGUUUUGCUGGUAUCCUGUGGAAUUAGUGGAGGUGCGCAAAAGCUGGCCUGGACACCACAGUCAUCACAAAAAAAAGUCAUUUUGAGAAAGUCAAGGUUGAGUACUUUUACCUGAAUUUUUUCCUGUAGAAAAGAGUCUCCAAAAGAACUGUACAGGGGAUGAUUGCUAAUUUUGUCAUCUAAAAUGCAAAACAAUGAAGAAAAUCAGGAAAAAAAAACUGCAUUUAAGAUUCUAAAAUUAGUCAGAAGCUAAAGGGCUUGCUUUGUAGAGACAACUUAGAAUUGAGUUUGUGAUGAAUGUUUGAGACCAAUAGGGAACAAGAGAAUCUCAUCACAUUAAGUAAAGUAGGUUCUAACCACAAAAGCAAAAAAGAACCACAAAAGGGAAAAAGUUUGUUGCCCCUCCCCAAUAAAUGAAAAUAGAAAAGAACCUUACAAUUCAGCUAGCUAUGUAUGUUGAUAAUUAAUUUCAUAAUGAUCAUUAAGCAUUUCAUAAUAAGAUUUUUGUAGCACAUUGUGAUGUGAAUAAUUUAAGGUUACAGUGGAGCAAGUUGCAAUUUCAAGUUUAGAUCUUAUAAAACCUAGCUACUCCAAACAAGUAAUCACCAGAAAACUAAUUUAUGUGGAAAAGCUAUCCCAGUGGAUACAUUGCUAUACCUUGAAAUAUAGGUCCAGAAAAAAGGGGACAAGGAAUGAGAAUAAAGAUAAAGGAGGGGGAAGAGAAGAUCUUAUCCAGAUAAAUCACUAUUUAAGGCAGCCAGAAUCCCAGGUAAAAAACAUUUAAACCAGAUAGUCAUUAACAGCAAAAAGGAAAAAGAACAAACCUGAUAAAAUCCAACAGAAUUAAACCCCAGGCUUAGAUUAAGAAGUCCAAUAGAGGACCCAUUCAGUAUUCCAAAGCCCAUAACGGCUUUUGGAUCAAAAGGCUUGUGCUCAAAAAAUCUCAUCCAUCUUGCCACAUGGAGAGAACAAAAUGUAACUAAAAGAUGCCAGCUUGUCAAAGUCGUAGCUGAGUGAAAAUUUAAGAAGUUAGAAACUCAAAGCAGAAUGAUAUAAGAAUUGAAAAUUUUCUUUUAUGAGGUUUUGCAGGUACCAAAAUAGAAGUGUCAACAAAUCAACAAUCCCCUGAUCCAAAUUGGAUCAUCCUUUUCCCAACUCCCUAUUUCCUUAUCAAUUUUUUUAUAAAAAAAAAAAGUGUCAACUGACAACCAAAUAUAUUUUAGAUGCGAAUGCGCAAUAUCUAGAAGUAUCUUUCAUUUCCAUUAUGUUCUAAUUUUUGUUUAACUAUAUGCAAACACUUGCACAUGAUUUUGUGUUCUCUCCUUCUUCUUUUUUGGUUCAUUUGAUUCUGUGUUCUCUCCUACUACUGCUCAUAUGCCAUAAGCCAAAUUCACCAACUGUCAAAUUGAGCUGUUUUACAUUAAAGGAAUAGAGGAAAUAAUUGCAUAAUGACUAAAGAAGAGCACAAACAGAGAAAUAACUAAGCCAAAUAUUUGAGCUUGUUCUGGUCCCUACUAAUUACAUUGUCGAACCCAUUUUUCAACAGAGAAUAUUGACGUUUACUGAAUCACAUUCACCCAAACAACAACUAUCUAUGCCUCAAUCCCAAGCUAGUUGGGGUCGGCACAUUCAUCCCAGUAGAAGAAACGAGACAAUCUUAGAAAACUUUCCUGCACAAGCUCUUCGUGAAUCUCAUAGAACCAUGUUAAAGCAAUCAAUAAAUCAAUCAAUAUCCUUCAAUCCAAAUAUUUGUUAUUGGCAAUAUGAAAUCCUCUAUGUUGAUUAUCCUCUAUUUCGAUGUAUCAGCUAAUUCAUCUUUUAAGGUAAAUUAAAUACUAUGAAUGAUAAAGCAGGUACCUAAUUUCACGAAGCAUGUAAGCAAUUCACUUGUAAGAUUAGUCAUUACACUAAUGAACCCGAACAAAAGAAAAAUAACAAAACACCAUCCAUUAUUUGCAUUACGAAAAAAAGUUAUCAGAACUCACCAAAUGUAAAACCUAAUGUGCUAAUAAGCGCCUUAUUGCAAAUUACAAUGGACACAGAAGACACCACCGACAAAGACAGUGCUCCAAUGGUCCCCAGCUGAAACCUCUGGCUUUCUGUCAUUUUCGCUCCUUCUCCAAUUCCAACUUCAAAAUCUACACAUCAAUAUAAAAUUUCACACAUAAACCUAAAUACAAAAUCAUCUCACAAUUAGACAACCGAGUUUUUUUUUUACCUUAUCUCAAUCGUGCGUCCAUGAAUCAUACAAAACUAGCUCAGCUGAAAACAAAACGUUCAAAUAUAUUUAAAAACGAGAUUUAUUCAACAUAAAUAUAUACAGAUCCAAACACGAACAACAAAUUUAAAAAAAAUGCAGAGUAAAGAAUAUGUUAAUAUAUUAAGAAGAUUACCAAAAUGCAAAAUUAUAGAUCUGAUACUUUAUAUAAAAUUGGAUUAUUUUUUCAAUCUUCAUACGAUUAUACGAACAAGUAAAAAGGAGAGAGAGAAAUGGAGGAAGAAGAAGAACCUGUAAAGCUUCGGAUCACGAAAAUGGACAAAGGCGCUAAGUGUUCGAUAGAAGUUGAAGCAUUAUUAUUAGAAUUAGAAAGAGAGCGGAGAAAAUUGCACCACUAACAUUUAUACUUUUUUGUAAUUUAAUAAUUAAAUUGGUGACUUCUUAACUGAAUUCCUGCUAGCUUUUCGCCUGCGGGUCACGUGACUGUGUCUAUCAGAGGGGUAUAUGUAUUAAUGAAAUAUUUGGGGAAAUUGAUGCGUUGCGACAUGAAUUUGCAUCUAAUUUUGAUAAUUAUUCUCUAUCUUUUGUCGUAAAAUUAUUUGUAACUUUUAUUAUUAGUUAUGGUAAGACAUCAAAUUUUAAAUUUAUUUUUUUAGAUUUUUUUAUUAAAUUUCGAUUAGUUUUUUUCCUGCGGGUCAUGUGACUGUGUUUGUAUCUAUGAAAAAGGUAUAUACAGGAAAUAUUUGGAGAACCCAAUGGGUUUCAACAUGAGUGUUGCACUCAGAUGAUAACCAUCAUCGACCUCUUAUCUUAAGAUUGUGAUUUGAGUCACGUUAAAUUUAUUAUAUGUUAUGCGAUUAAUCUCAAUAAUACGUAAAAUUUCAAAUUUGUUUUAAUUCAAGUUAAUAUAUAUAAUAAAAUGAAAGAAAAUAUUGGAAGAAGAUUUAAUAGGUUUAUAAGGAACAUUGAAGUCUAAUGUUCACCAUAACGAUUAAAAUGGAUUUCAAAUUUAUCUUUAUGUCUUUUCUCUAUUAAUAAUAGUUGAAAAAAUAUUGUUAUAAUUUAACAAUGCUUGGAAAUAAAGACUUAUUUCAUAUUAGUGAUUGAAUGUAGACAUUUCUCUUACAUUAAUUAAAAUAUCUAGAAAAUGAAUCCAAACAUAUUACUACAUUCAAUGUUUCUCUUACAUUAAUUAAAAUAUCUAGAAAAUGAAUCCAAACAUAUUAGAGUACUACAUUCAUUGCUUCUAAUAUGUAAAUGCAUUCCAAUCAAAAUAUUGAUGAAAUUAGAAUUUCUAGAAUACGAUGUCACCUUAAAAAAUACAAAUUAUUAGUACUAAUUAAAAUUGAUUUCUAGUUUUUAAGGUAAAUAACUCUAAACACAAUAAAGUGCAUUAUGUAACUUUCUUAUAGUAUGAAUGUUAGAUUGUAAUAUUAUGUCAAUUUUAGAAAUUAUAUACCUACAAUAUCUAAUUUUAUAAAGAAAUUAUGAAUUUACAUUCCGCACCUAUAAAUUCACUUGCAAAUAUUCUCACAAGUAUUAAAUUUGUUUACAUUUGGAUGGUUGUUACUUAUUGUUCAUAUAUCGUAUUGUAUCGUGCAAUAUUAUUUUAAUGAAUACAAUAUUUGGAUUGAUUUUAUCAUUCUCAUUUCAGUUGUCACACAUUCAUAAUUUGAAUGAUAAAUAUAGGGAUAAGGAUCUGAAAAAUAUCCCAACUUUUGUCGAAUUUGCUGUUGCGAUACUAAACUUUCAUGAGGACCUAUUACCUCCCUAAACUAUUUAAUACCGUAUUUUAAACAUAUAUAUUUGCCCAUGUGGACAUNNNNNNNNNNNNNNNNNNNNNNNNNNNNNNNNNNNNNNNNNNNNNNNNNNNNNNNNNNNNNNNNNNNNNNNNNNNNNNNNNNNNNNNNNNNNNNNNNNNNNNNNNNNNNNNNNNNNNNNNNNNNNNNNNNNNNNNNNNNNNNNNNNNNNNNNNNNNNNNNNNNNNNNNNNNNNNNNNNNNNNNNNNNNNNNNNNNNNNNNNNNNNNNNNNNNNNNNNNNNNNNNNNNNNNNNNNNNNNNNNNNNNNNNNNNNNNNNNNNNNNNNNNNNNNNNNNNNNNNNNNNNNNNNNNNNNNNNNNNNNNNNNNNNNNNNNNNNNNNNNNNNNNNNNNNNNNNNNNNNNNNNNNNNNNNNNNNNNNNNNNNNNNNNNNNNNNNNNNNNNNNNNNNNNNNNNNNNNNNNNNNNNNNNNNNNNNNNNNNNNNNNNNNNNNNNNNNNNNNNNNNNNNNNNNNNNNNNNNNNNNNNNNNNNNNNNNNNNNNNNNNNNNNNNNNNNNNNNNNNNNNNNNNNNNNNNNNNNNNNNNNNNNNNNNNNNNNNNNNNNNNNNNNNNNNNNNNNNNNNNNNNNNNNNNNNNNNNNNNNNNNNNNNNNNNNNNNNNNNNNNNNNGUAUUAAAUAGUCUAGGGAGGUAAUAGGUCCUCAUGAAAGUUUAGUAUCGCAACAGCAAAUCCGACCAAAGUUGGGAUAUUUUUCAGACUCUUAUCACAUAAACAUAUAAGAAAAGUAAGGAACGGGUAGAGCUACUAUGAAAAUGUAAGGUAAAUGAUCAAACAAUAAUUAUCAAUAAUAAUAAAUAAAGACAAAAUGAGAAGAAAAUAUUCACAUCAAAUCAAUCGCUAUAUAAAACGAGUCUUUUCAUUGUUAUCUAACAAUAAAUAUAAACGAUAUCAUACACAAUAUAAUUUAAGUAACAAUCAAAACAAACAUUAUACUUAAACUAAUAAUACAAUACAACGGUAACAACCAUCCAAACAAGGUGUUAAAAAAAUCUUUAAAAAGAAUGAGAAGAUCUAAAUGUUCUUUUAUUCUUCUAUUACUUUGCUGUUCCUAUACAGAAAAUCAAAUCAAAUAUAUUUAAUACUAUAAUUUUAAUUUAGGAACUAAGUGUAAAGUAAUUUUUCUUAUUUGGCACAAAUUACGGAACAGCAUAGUCAGGACUUAACCCUUCUAUUUGAAAAUUGAUUCAAACGAAGGAUUUAUAUAAUCGGAGCAUCGCCGGAGUAUUUUGUUCGGAGGUUUUAUGCAACCGGCGAAGAAAUCGAGCAUCACCUGACCUGACCCGACCCGACAAAAUUGAUUUCUAAAGGAACCCUACGAAGGAUUUUGGGUUUUUAGGGUUCCAUUUCAUGCUUUUACGAAUGGAUAUCGACACUGAUAUUUCUCAUUGGAUUCUCGAAUUCAUCCUCCGGCAACCGCUCGACGACGGCAUUCUUAACGAUCUCAUUCACGUUCUUCCACUCUCAAACGACAAGCCGAAUUUAAAAAAGGCGCUGCUUAUCCGAAAAAUCGAAUCUGAGAUUUCUAACGGUUCAGUUAAUGAGAAAAUCCUCGAAUUUCUCGAACUGAUUGAGGAACUAAAUCAUCAAGACGGGAUUGAAGCUUCAGAGGUUAUGAAAGCCGCGUAUUGUGCGGUGGCAGUGGAGUGUACGGUGAAGUUUUUGAAUAGUGAAGGGACAGGAGGUAAUAAAGGUAAGUAUUUUGACGCAGUAAGGAGGAUAUGGAAACGGAGAAUCAAUUUAAUGGAGAAAAUGGAGAAUGUAGGGUUUGUAUCCGAAGAGUUAUGGAGUUGGAGGGAUGAAAUAGAGGCGGCUUUAUGGGAUGAUAAGUGUUCUUACAGUGUGAUAAGGAAGAGUAAAGGUAUAGUUGCUGUUGAGUUGGUUAAGUUUUUUGUUAGAGAAGCUAAAGAGAGAAUGGGGUCUCCUUUUCUUGAUGUUGUGGCGGAAACUUACCAGUCUGAUGAGACAAUGAAGGCACUUUUUGGAGAGGUGAACAAAGAAGGAGCUUGCUGCGGAAAUGACAGAGGUAAUGUGUUAUUAAACUCUAUGAUAUGAUCAAAUUUGGAUGAUAAUUUUGUACCUAUUAUCUGCUUAUUGCUCCAGUUCAAUGAAUGAUGACCAAAUUCUGUAUGUUGGUGUUAAGUGUUGAAUUAUGUGCUUUUUUUCUGUAGUUUAUAUGGUCACCCUUGAUUAGAUAUAAAGGGAGUAUUUUUGACAUUUCCUAGUAAUACCAAUAUCAGUUUAUCCUUGUUAUAAGGGGUAAAAGAUUACUUUUUGACAUUUUGCUUGCUGAACUCGUAUAAAUUUCAUGAGUUUUAUGUCUAGAUGAUUGUUUUUCUGCUUGCAGAAGUGUCCAAAGGAAGUGCAUUGCGCAGGAAGAAGCAUGUUGCUUUCAAACGCACCAGAGGAGGUAUCAGGAUCAGUGAUUCUAUUGAGUCAGAACUUGAGGCAUCUGGUGGAGGUGGUCAGGAUGGUUUACCGCCUUCAGCUGAAAUACAGAAAGCAGAGAAAGCACUUAAAUUGAGUUCAUUGGAGCUGCGUGCUAUGGUAAAGGAUCCUCUACCUGAUGCACUACGUCUUGCUGAAACUCUUUCUUUGGCAAGGGAUAAUAUGGGUCAUCAGCCUGCUGAGAAUAGCAGUGACAUAGCCCCUCCUCCAAUGGCCUCCAGUAGCAGAAUGGUUCAAGCUAGUGGGGAGAAAUGUGAGGCGCAGCAUAAUUGUCAUGAUAAUGCUGCAUCCAAGCCAGACCGAGUGAACCAAAACAGUGCUGCCAAUCCACUUGAGGUAUAUGCAUCAAAAAAGAUUUUUUUCUCCACCUGCUUAAAAAUACACGGCCAAAUGCUGCUUCUUGGCAUGUAUUGAUGCACAAUGCUCUUGAAUGUGUAGUAACUUGAAGUCUUCAAUGCAAGAUAGUAUUUGUUUAUCCUCAAAGCUUUACUAGCCUAGUGACUAAAGGAUUUUUUGUAACUAAAUGUGCAAAACUUUUUCCCAAGCCAAGUAACGAAAUGAUUCUUUGUAUAGUAGAGAUUAGAGAGGUUAGAUCAGAUAUUAGCUCUAGAUUUGGUUUUGCAAGAGGAAUAUUAUAGCACAAACAUUAAAGCAUAUUCUUAUUUGAAAAAAAUUGUCCUAGGCACCAAACUGUAUUUGAGAAAAAUAUCCAAAUAGAGAGAAACAAAUUUGUAAUUUUAUGCGUGCUAAUGGAAACAAACGCUGAAUUUUAUAUACAGUUGGAUGAUUUCUUCGACGAGGUAACUGAACGAUCACCAAGUAAAGCGAAUAGGGUUACAUUACCUACACCAAAGACAACGAAAGUUUCUCCCCUGAAGAAGUAUGAAUUUAAAAAGAUCACCACGAGGAGAAAGCCCAUGAAAUGGAGUUCGUUGGAAGAAGACACUUUGAGAACUGGUGUACAGAAGUAUGGAGCAUCUCUUACUUCCUCUGACUUCAAAGAAAUAACGACACAAGGUUUAGUGCUCUAAUUGUUUUCCUUUUUUUCGUAGGUAUGGUACUGGAAACUGGAAGGUCAUCUUAGACACUUAUCAUGGCAUAUUUUCAGUGAGGACAGCAGUAAGUGUUUUCUGAUACUACUACUAUUUAUAGACUGGUCGUAUAUUACUCCUACUUAUGAAGUCUAAACAAUUUUGUGCAGUGCGACUUGAAGGACAAGUGGAGAAACAUGAUAUCGUAGGUAUUUAUUUUGAAGAAAUUUCACUCUUGUAUGAGAGCCUUUUGUUUUCUUAAGCAGAGGUAUGGCCUUGUAUAUUUUUUUUGUAUCAUGUAAAUGUCAAACUUCCUCCCUGUGUAUUUUGUUAGAUACAUAAUACUUCAGAUGAAUGUUAUUGUAUAUCAUGUCUCUCUGGAGAAAGCUGUGAGCAUGCUCAUAUACACUCUAGAAAUAGUUGCCUUUUUAGGUACUUGUGACUAAUUUAAAUCAGUGGAUACAAAUUUCAAGCUAAAGGACUGUGAAACAAGUGAAUUACUAAAUUUCAAGCUCAACUGAUAAUGUAUCCAGAUGCCUUUGAGAUUUCAAAUUGAGUUAGUUAAUGGUUAAAAAACACAACAAAAGUAUCACCUUUUUUUGCGAGUUUCAUACCUCAACUCUCUAUUGUUCUAUUUACCUAUCUAUAAUUCUCUUCGUAUUAAUACACACAUUGAUGCGUAGUUGGCCUACGCGCAUUUGUACUUGGCAUCAAUGUGUGUUUUAAAAGAGAGAGAAUUUAGGUAGGUAAAGAGAACAGAGGUAUGAAAUCCGCGAAAAAGUAAUAGUUCUUGUGUUUUUUUUUUUUACCAUUAGCUCUUUCAAAUAUUUGUACAUGUAUUGUGACUAUCAUCUUAUCACAAGCUUUGUUGUCGAUUGAGAACAAAUAUUUGGCCAAUUCAAUAUUGAGGUGCUUUUUAAUACAAAAGGAGUGAUGGUUUAGGCUGAUAAAGAGAAUAAUGGAUUGUUGAGAUAUAAAACUCUGCAAAAAAGUCAAAGUUUAGAAGCUUUUUUUAGUCAUUAAGUCUUUCAAAUAUUAAUACUAUUGAUAUUAACUUAAUAAUGUUGACGGGUUUCAAUUGUUUUUUGAAGUUGAUUUUGAAGCGGCCAAACUUUAAAGACCUUGUAAAUUUCAGCUAGUAUAUUUCAAAUAGGGUUCCUAAAAUGGUUAUUAUUGCAAUUCGUUCAUAAUAAUGUAGUGAGUGUUCACUCAAUUUAUCUGUUGUGAUUUUUAAAAGUAAUCGUCUCAAAUUGUCAUUUUAGAAGUUUAAGACAACUAAAUAUUUUUUCUCAUUUCUAUGAUAGUAAAUUAGUAAUUGUUCUAGAGUAUUACAAACACCUCACCCUAAAAUAAAUAAAGAAUUUUGCGCUAAUAAUAUGAACGCUUUUAAAUUGUAUUUAAUGGUAAUAGUAAAUAUAAGUAUUUAUAACCAAUACUUAAUACAAAUAUCGUUAAACGCUUUAGCAAUGGUAUUAACUCAAUUAUUGUUAAAUGUUUUUGCGGCUGCUAAUAGCAAGACCUAUUACAACUAAAUGUCUCUUUUAUUAUAGUAGAUCAAAUGAGUAAAUAUUUAAUGAAGAGAGCUUAUAGCUUAAGAAAUAAACAAUAAUCAGAAAAGAACCUUUCAAAUUAAUGUCUUCUAAAGAACGUGUAAAAGAGAAACAUUGACAAAUUAUUUAAGACAAAAGAAGUAUCAAUCACUUCUUUACUUUAGAUUGGUGAAUUUGGUAUAGAGAGGUUUACCUCCGCUUUAAACGUCUUUUUCCCGCCUGUUCAAGCCACUAAUAAGCAGAUCGAGUAGAAGAGAACACUCGGAACUAGGUUGACUGAGAUUGCCAACUGCAAGAAAAGAGAGAAAGUAAGUCGGAAACUUAACGAGCAAAUGCCAUGUGCUCUAUCAAUCUAGUCUCAGUCAUUCCAGCAAGCGAGCGAGUGAGACUAAUGAAACCAAGGUACACUGAAGACAAAGCAAUUCAUUGCAUUAAUCUUCCUCCGUCUCAAUUUAUGUAACACCAUUUGACUUGACAUAAAGUCUAAGGAAGACUUCUAAAAUUUGUGGUCUAUAAAUCCUUGAUCAUUUGUGUGAGAGUGAAUGUGACUAUAAAUCGUUUUAUUAGGAUAAAUGAGAAAUUUAAAAGUUAAAUAUGAUUAUAAAAAGGUAACAUUUUUGCACGGACUUAAAAAAGAAAAAUGUGUCACAUAAAUUGAAACAUAAGAAAUACUAUUUAGAGCAAGAGGUGUGUAUCAACGGAUUCGGUCCAAUUUUAUAUACAAUUUGUCAAUUUUUUUAAUUUGUGAACGCGUUAACCUGAUUAUCAAACCACUAAGAUAUUUAUUAUUGAUUUUCAAUUAAGCGAUUUUUGAUCCUUAAUGGUUUGAUCGAUAAUCAAUAAUACAAUGCUCAUAUAAUCAUGUAUACAAGAUAUUCAUAAAAUAGAAAUAGUAGCAAGAUUUUGUAUACAAGAUAUUCAUAAAAUAGAAAUUGUAGCAAGAAUACAAGUGUAAGACAUAUUGUUCGAAUUUGUUCUCAAAGACACGCACAAUAAAUUGCGAUAAUAACAUUAACUUGUAUGUCUUUGUCACAAUCAAAUCUAAAAUUGAAAAGAGAGAAGGUAAUACUAAUUAGUGCCGAGAAGAGAGAAGAUAACGGAAUAGAAAGACCAGUUUGAGUUGCCAUGGUCAAAAGUAAUACUGAAAUUUAGGAAAUAAAGUUGGUACAAUGUUAAAAUCAUUGUUAUAUAAUUAGGAAUAAAAUAGUAAUUUUAAUAUAAUCUUAUCGGAUGAUCAAUCAAAAUCAUAAAAUCGAAAACCGAAUCAAUAACCCAAUAAAAAAAUUACAAAAUCAUUAAACCAAUGGUGUUUUUCUCUGUUCGAUUUAUCGGUUAAACCAAAUUUUGCACACCCCUUUAGAGGCCAUAAACUUGAAAUCUUGCUAAAAUAAUGGUGCAACCUAAAAAGAAGCAAAUGAUGUGACAAACUUCCCUGAACUUUGGUAGUUUUUCCUUGAUAGAGUACACAUUAGGUAAAAGAACAAAGUACAUUUUCCAGCAGACGGUAUGUAUGAGAGAACCCACAAAAAGUGAAGGAAUUUAAGACACAACAGACUCCUUCAACUGUGAGUAUGUAUAACACCUCAACAAUGAGGUUGUGAACAACACUAUAUAUCUUAACAAAAGGCUCAUAUAACUGGAAAAAACACAAAAGAAAUUACCAAACCAAAGGUAGGGACUUAAUUUACGCUUCGGCGCCUUUACCCCCUGGUUCAACAUCUGCAGUUUUCACAAAUCCGUUAUCAGGAUGGUGCCCUUCACUCUCACUGGCAGCUUGUGACAGUAAAGAGUUGCCCAAGCUCUCGAGCCUGUUCUGCGUUAGAUACUCCAGGGGAAGGUUGGUAGCAUUAACAAGGGAGGUCAUGCUCAUUCCAGCAGUGGCCUCAGCUAGCAUGUCAUCAUCACGGUUCGGAUGGCAGUUCAGGUCCAACUGUCCCUUCCCAGGUCCGAACUCCUCCACUUGAUCCCCGUUCGAAUUCUUUUCAUUGUCAGAGUGAUUCAUGCGUUCGUUCUCGGAAUGAUUCAUUUGAAGCAACUCUAUUCCACUCGUCAUCCCAUCUGUUUCUGGUUCAUCUUUAGGAGGGACCUGAUCUUUUGCCUGUGCAAGUUCUGCUUCUCGAUCUGAUUGCUUUUUCUUCUUACGCAACAUGAGUGUUUUAAAACGACGUUUCACAGUCAAACAGACAUUGCACUUACACGUGGGAUGGUGCUUGCCCUUCCCACUUGGAGGCUGAAUGCACACAAUGCAACUGCAACCAGGGCGAUGCCGAGGAUGUUUUGUUGUGGCUCCAACCGAAGGCUCUCCCAUGUCGCCAAUGCUAUCUCCCAUGUCGCUAGCAGCAACUGUUGCCAAGGCAUCUAGGCCAGAAGACUCUAAAUCUUCAUUGUUUUCUACAAGUUUUCGCCUCUUAGGGUCUGGAAUGAGGAGACACUAAUAGUGAGUUGACUUAGAUUAUCUAAACAAAGGUAAGCAUAAUUCAUAUGUUUCAAUUUAUAAAGUGUUUCAUACAAGAAUUAUAAUGCAUCUACUAUUUUUUGAAACUAAUUUGACUCAUUCAUCAUAAAGCCCUUCAUAAACCGGGUGGCAACAAAGAAGCUCUCGAACUUGCUGGAAUCCCGAAGGAACAUCAAUGUAACACAUUUUAUUUGGCAGCUCUUUAGGAUGUUAGGGGGCGUGAGAUACGGAUUGUGCAAUUAAAAUAUCACAGAUAAAAAAAAAAAAAAACCAAAAAGAAAGCUUCCCCACCAACCAUAGUGAAACAGAUUUCCUAAAGUGUAGUGCUUUGAGCAGAUGAACAUCAAGAUAUAAAUGAAAAGUCGAUUUCCUAGAAUCAGGAGAAAAGUCUGUUUAGCAGAAAUUCCUUAAUCUCACUUUUUUGAAAUGUUUUUUAAAAAUAAACCUUAAAGCUUCAAGAUGAACCAUCAAUUCCUAACAGAAAGGUGCAUUUUGUAAAUGCAAGUAAACGGAAAAGUGAGUCCUUAAACUUGCAUUACUUGCAUUUACAAAAUGCACAGAAUUUGAUGGUUCAACUUGAAGCUUGUACAUAGAACUAUUUAUUCCUUGUGAAAAGUGACCUUUUAGCGACGAAACCUUUUAAAAGCUGUUACUCAAAAGCACAUUCAAUCUUCUACCAGCAAUAAACCCAUUUAAAUCACACGUUGUCAUUCUUGCCCAUAUAUAUAUAUAUAUAUAUAUUUCCUUACUACUUCUUGAUCAUAUCCUCGUAAAGAUUGUGUGUCAUUAACAAAGAAUCAGCAGGUAAAAAAAAUAGGAGGGAAGAUUUCUGUUAAAUAAUGAGAAAAGAUAUCUAAUACCCUUGCCAACUCUAAGGAGAGCUUCCAGUUCCCUCGGACUAAUCUCAUCAGGAAUAGCACAAGAGCAUCUGUAAUAAAGUUUGCAGAAAAAGGGUAAGAAACGGUCAUUCUUCAGAGAGUAUCUAUUUAAUAUAUGAAAUAGCACACAAUUUGUAUAGGCCAAUUCCCAUAAAACACAGAGACACACAUGAGACAAAGCAAAUGCAUCUGAAAAACACGAUUCAUUCAUCUAACACAAACGUAUCUUCAGUUUGUACAGACUACCAAUAUCAUAGUAAGAAGCAACUAAAUUUGGUAGAGCGGAAUUACACCCAUGUUUAUGGUUUACCUACCAAGAGAGAGACCACUACAUGGGUAAAAAGCAAAUUUUCUUUUUCUUUUAGCUAUGUGAUAUCUUAAAAAAUGAAAAUGAUAUAACUAGUCUAGUCUCAAAAGUGAAUCCGAAGUGGGAGAUCAAUGGAACCAGAUAUAGACCUUCUUGAGUCCCAAAUAUUGUCAGAACAAGUCCACUUUGCAGGAAGGAGAACGUGAAAAGGCAAUCUACGCCAUUUAGCACAGCUGUCACAUUGAGCCCAUUGCUCCUGAUCCCUGUGCAACGGUACAACAGAAAUCAGCAUUGAAAUCCAACAAAAACAAAAUAUCAGACAGAUAGCAACCAAACAUUUCUCGUAAGUGUAGUUUUGAUAUGACCAGCAAAGGCAAAGGUGAACAUUAUUAACAAAGCACCAACAGAUCUUAGAGCUUUUUUGCUCUUUUUAGUUUUGAUAACAUUGGUCUGCACAAGUUGAUCCAUUGACAUAAUAGAUAACUACAAAUAAGUUUCACUCGGUACAUUUAGUUUUUCCCUUACCCAGAAGAUCGGGCAGUAAAUAUUGUCCUCUUUCCAAAGACUGGUGCUUCCUAUUGAGGAAGAAAAAAAGAGAAUUAAACUUGAUUGACUAUAUGAAAAACGAACAAUAUAGCAUUAGAAGUAAAGAGACAAUUUUUGUGGUUUCCGUAUUUUGGUUGCACUUACUUCAUAUUCCUCAAAUUCACAGUCCUCAACCACAACAAUGUUAGGCUUGGCAGUUGGAGAUGGCCGUAGCAAUUCUUGUAUUUCUUCCCAAGUGAUUCUAAGUUCCAUAGCAUCAUCGGCAUGCAUAAGAAGCCUCUUAUUUUUGGACCCAAUGUUUCUUGCCUUUUUCUUCUCUGACAUCGGCACUUGCCGGUUCACAGUAUCAUCACUUGUCCUGCCGCCAUUCUUUUCAUGUUUUGGAUGGUAAAAAGAAUUCGCAUUACGGGAAAGAGCAAAUUCAAAUGCUGCAAGCAUGUGACAAUACCUGCUUUGCAAAAACACCUAGAAGGCUAGAGUAAACACUCACCGGAAGGUUAUCAGCCAUGCCAGAAAAUGAAGUUUCUCCAGAGCCAUUGCCACUGGGAAGGUUAGGCGUUUGAGGAUCCUGUUUUGCAUACAAAAAGAGGGAAAUAAACUCACUUCACUAAUCAGGAAAAGAGCGCUAACUAUAGCAAACAAUGUUUCUGUAGAUAACCUGCAUGUCAACAUUGUUUGUUGCCUUCCGAAAUCCCAUAACAAGCUUUCCUCCAGGAUCUAUUCGACUGAAGAUCACUACAACAAUAGACCAUAAUUAGUAUUUCUAUCUGAAAAUCAUAAUCGCUAUCAAAUGCAGAAUCAAUUGAUGACCAAACUAAAGGAAAGACAGUAUCUACAGUCUGAUAACUAGCCACUCUGCCAGAGAUGGAAAAAUAUUUCUUUUAUUAGAUGAAAGCAUGAACAUUUACCAGUAUCACCAGCUUGCAAUUGCAUAUUCUGUAUACAAGGGGUAACACCCUCCAAAACAUACAUCCGGCUGUUGUUAUUGGGCCAAAAUCGGAAUUGAAAUGUCCACUCUUUACCCUUAAUAUCCUGAAUCCUUAUAGGUAGACCCUCUGAUUGGUUAAUUGGAGGGAAGUAUGCCUGCAUAGGAAUUGGCAUUGAUUAAGCAGAAAAGGUGCAUUGCAAGCUAACCAUUCGAGGCCAUAAAGAUAACAGGCAAGAUAUCAUAUUGUCUAAACUUCACAAAGUAGAUAAAAAUCUGAAGAAGUAACUAUUACUUCAGCACAUGCUUUGGGAAGAACCAGACGGCCUAUUCGUCCAGCAUCACUGGCACUUAGGACCUUCUCAAACAGUGGUACAAUAGUAGACUUUAAGCUGAAAUUCCAGUUAAAUGAAACAAAAUAGGAGCGAUACACAACUCAAAGAUAACUAACAGCAACCAAAAAUAAUACGUUGUCAAGGAUACUCUCCAGCUAAUUUCUCCAACUCCUGGUCUGUAAUCCGAGGCCAGUAUCGAGGCAGUAACUGACUGCGUCCACCACGCCCUUCAGCAGGUGGCCUUGCAAUCCGUGCUUGUGAAGCCAUUCCUUUGACUGAUUCAGAACCUGAGGUGGGGCUAGGUUUGGGGGGCUUGGGCAAUAUAUGGCGUGCCCUUUGGCCCUGUUGGAAGGGAGAAGUUUUGCUUUGUUCCCUUCCUUCAACAUCUCCACCAAGAAAAGGCUGUCCUGAACUUGAAGUACCAAUUGGAGUACUUAAACAGAAAUUUAGAGACGGCUGAUUGAUCGAUUCAUACAUAUCUUUAACACCUUGACUUGGUCUCUCAUUAUCGGGUUUGCCAAAGAGAGAAGCUCCAAUGUUCUGCUGAUUCAAAUUCGAAAAGCAUGUGCCAACAUUACCAAUAGGAAGCAUUGUAUCUUGUUUCUUGUCAUUCCUCUGCGUUUGAAAGAGUUGACCAGGCUCAUUGGUCUGCAAAAACUUUCUUCGUUCAAAGUCAUUCUCAUCUAUUUUAUUCUCAACGCCCAGUGGCUGUGCACUCUUAGAUCCCAAGGUGCCAUUAGGAAAAUCAUCACCAGGUAUCUGCAAAAGCAUUUAUAAGAUGAUUUAAGACUCAAAUUACAUCAACUGACCAUCAGCUAAAUUUGUCAAAGAGAAUACUUUCGGGGAAUGCAACAAUUAGUAAAAGACCACGUGAAGUGGGCAUACACAUUCAAAGCACACGUAAAACGAACUCCAAUUAGAUAAGUGAAAUAAAAGAAAGAGACAAAAUUCAUUUGUCAAUAUCUUGAAUUUGUUUGUUUCUUUCAAGGAUUAGGUUUUGGCUUUCCGGUGGGAUUGUCUUUCAAUGUUGCAUGGGCACAAUAUAGACGCCAGAUAUAUGGUUAUAAUAACACCAGAAAACCAAAACACAUAGAAUGUUUGCUCUAAGUGAAAAAGCUGCAUCAAUUUGCCGAAUUACUAUGUGAAGGUUAGAAAGUGAUAUACUAAGGUGGCAGUUACAAUUUUCACUCUGGAUGGUUACUUAGUACUCCAGCAUGGAACCACAUUGCGAUUAACGUUACUCUUCUCCCAUAAUGGAGACAAAUUAUUUUGACCCUGCAUUUUUAGAUACUUACCCAUAUCUUUAAAAUAUUAUUUAGAAAGUUUUCUUAAAAUAUGACAAGUAAAGAUAAGACACUGUAUUCAAAUAUACCAAGUAAGCUUGCCAGAAAGAGCAUAUAUCAAGUAUGACAAGUGAACGUCUGAAUAUCAAAUAAUCAAAUAUUAAAGCACAGAAAAAAAAGAAAAAAAGAAAAAAGAGAGCAGCCUGUUGUGUCUGUGUUGCAAGGAAAUGACACUUGCAUUGACACAAUACAAACACAAGAUACAUAGGACGAUUUAUCUUAAGUGCAAAAGCUGUCUCAAUUUGCAGAAUUACUAUGUGAAGUUUUGAAAGUAAUAUUAUGCAGUGGCUGUCCGAAUUUUCACCAUUGAUGGUUAUCAGCAUGAAAGUAAACUGCCUUUGGCUUCACUCUUCUCCCAUCAAUGGAGAGCUAAUUUUGACCCUGUUGUUUUAACUAUAUCCACACAUCUUUCAAUUAAACAACUACUAAUACUACUAACGCUUCAUUUCCAACUACAAACCUCUCUAUAAUGGUGUUGUUUGCCUCGAUAUCUCUUUGUUGCUAUAGUGAAGUGUUGUUAUAGAAAAUACAUAAUGUAACAUGAAAAAUCAAUUCCAAAACAAUCUUGGCCAUUAUAGUGAAAUGUUGGUAUAGAGGUCAAAGGAUUGUUGCUAUAGAGAAGUUUGACGGUAGUUGGAUCGCUCUAUAGUGAAAUAUAUAAUCGCACUAUCUGCUUUGCUCUAUUUGCAAGUAUUAUUCCAAUAAUUCAAUAACUUGAGAUUCUCUACCUCUUACUACAUACACAUCUCUACACAGACUGAACCUAAUUACUAUAACUAGAAGUGAACAAUCAUGAGUAAAAUAAUUUUUUUUAGUACAUGACAACUAAAAAUAGAGAAUUUAUGUCAAUUACAAAGUAAGCUUGCCAAGAGAGAGCAAAAAAUAAAUUUGACAAGUUAAUAUGUGCAUAUGAUACUAAACGUCAAUAAAACACAACGAAGUUUAUAUAAAAAGAGGUUGAUUUAUUGAUUGAUUAGAGAAACAGAAAUAAAUAAAGGAGAGUACGUACAUAUGUUUUAUAACUAUACAAAUAUCUUGACCCAUGUACCUUUUUCUAUUUACAAUUUUCUUGACCAUUUCCUUUAACAAAAUCUUUUUUCAUCCAAAAUUUUAAUAUGUAAAUGAACAAUUCUAGAUUUUCAAUACCAUUUCUUUAAUGCGAUGAACCUUAAAACCAAGUAACCAACAACAAUCACCAAUUUAAUUUUUUAUCCAUUCCAAUAAGUUUGACGUCUUUCCAUGGAUAAAAAGUACUCUUCCUUUAAUAAUUUAAAUUAGUAAUCCUAUCCCAAUUUUUAUUACAUCCCUUCCAUUUUGGUGCAUUCGAAAAUAUUUCACACUAUUCCACUAAUAAAUACUAUUUUAUACAAUUUUCACAAGUUCUUAAAAUUCAAAUCUAUUCACCUAUCAAAUUUAUGAGACGUGAAUUUUUCUCUCUUAAUCUAUUUCUUUCAACUAUUAGGUUAAGUUGUUCUUACAUUACUAAUUUGUAAAAUAUACAAGUCAAAUGAUAUCUUAAACUGCUUAUCCAACCAAAUGGUGUCACCUAAAUUAAAAGGAGUAAAAAACUACCACUAUAAUUUAUUAUUUCACAUCUUUGUAACCACUACUAAAUUUUUACAUUCCAAAUUAUUAUUAUAAACGCUUCUUUACUAAUCAUGGUAUAAUAAUCUUAAACAUUUUAUCUUAUUAUCUAUACAAGUCAAAGUAUGUAUUCGUAUUGGGAUGAAGGAGUAUUUUUGACAAACUACUUCAUUUUACUCAUUUGAGUUAUUGUUUUUACAUGCUCUAAAGUUCUCAUAUAAUUUUUCUUUUUUUAAUCCCUAAACUAAUCAAAUGCGAUAAAGUAAAAUAAAUAGAGCAAAACAUGUGAAUGAGGCAUAACCAUUUUACAAAGCUCAAGGACUUCAAGCUAUUUUAGGUUCAUCUCCCUAAAAGUGAGGUUAUCAGCAUAUUUCAUGUUCAAACAUCCUCAUAUUGAGUUGUUGCAGUAAAAAGUAUUGGAGAGAAAUUCACUGUUCCUCCUUCUCCAUAAGCGUAUUUAUUUUAUUCAUAAAAUAAAUUGCACUAAGAUGCUUAUAAUACUAAAAAUUUUAGAGAGCACAAAGAAGUUGUAAAAUCUUCUAAGUCAUUUACAUUUUCUAAUUUAAGCGAAAACUAUGGUGUGGAAGCAUUUGGCUUUCUAGAGAAGGCCCCUUCAAAACAUAUCCAAUUUCUUUGUUUCCAUAAAGUCCAUCCUAUACAUAAUACUCCUUUAAGACAACAAGGAUCUACUACUUUAAAGUUAAAAUGAUUUUUUUAAGGAUGGUAACAGUAUAUUCAUCAGCACAAAACGCUGGCUGGUAACCAAAUUUACAUAAAAAGAUCCAACGGAUUAAUCUGUCCUUUUCUACUUACAAGGAUUGUUUUGCUUUCAUUUUGGAACAACAAGGCUUUUCUACAUAAUUCUAAAGCCAUGUUGGACUUCAUGAACUCAUAAUACAACCUGCGAAUCUCUACAAUUAGGUUUAUACUUUUGGAUGUGAUUCCGGCACAUCCUUGGUUCUACUUUAGUGCUCUCCCACACCGAUGCAGCGACCUACAACCAUCCUUUAGUUUUCUAUAGAAGCUGCAACAUUAUAGGGUUAAACAGAAGCAGCAAACCUUCCUACUUCACUAGCAGAGAAUAUGCAACGUAAAAUUACUCAUGAGAUCUAAUGAAGAACCAGAUAACAAUAUAGAAGUUAACAGAGUUUAUGAGACAACGUUAAUAUAUGGUAUACUUGACCAGGUUACUGUUAAGCAUUAGCUAUCCAAGUACAAUGAUGAAAAUGAAUAUGGUGCUGAGAGAUUAUAUAAGCAUAUAAAUUAGUCUCAUUAAUCCAGAAUAGGAGGGAGAGAGGCAGAAGACACGAUACUGAGGUUUUAGGUUCACUUCACAACUAACUGCAUACACUCUAUGCAAACCCUACCCCUACCUUGGGAGGUAGACUGGUAGAGAGGUUAUUUCCAAUAGACUCUCGGCUCAAGGGAAAACAUAUAAAAAAGAAAUAACAGAAGUGAAGAAAUCAUGGCAAUUACUACAAAAAUGAAUAAACAAUUUUAAAAAAAAUAAAUAAGGAUACCUGUAUUGGCCUGAUGGAAUGACCAUCCAAAUGACGUGCACAUUUUAUACAUGUAACACCUCCGUAAUCCAAGUACUCAUACAAAUAUUUUGAGGCAAUGCACCCACAGUGUAUAGGCUGCCAGACCAAAUGAAGAUAGAAUCAAAAACACUAGUUGACCAUGCAAGUCUAGUACAUGAGAUUCAGUGACCUACCUUUCUACAAGUUCUGCAUUCCCUCCAACCAGAUUCAUCCGGGUGGAAUGUUUCACAGAAAACUAAAUUCUCAAAAGCAGAUCUACAGAUAAAAAAUGAGGAGAAAUCACAACUUUCGUUUACUGAUUGCAUAAUUAACUAAUAAAUAGCUAGGCAGAAAUACCAUAUAAAUUACAAGUCAACUAUAAGUCAAGACUGAUGAAAAGGCUCUUACUUUGUGACGCUUGUAUAAAGAAGAGCAAAGAAAAAAAAUUAACAUUAGCAAUAUGAGUCCGGAACAACAUCAGUGUCAUACAAGGGAGCUCUAAGAAAGAAGUUGAAUUUCCAACUGUAAGAACUUAUACUAUGAUUUUCUUUUCUAUAACGUAAGGUAACAACUAUAACAACUUAUACUUCCGAUUUCAAGAACCAAAAAGAACCACAGUAAGUCAUCAACAACCAAACAGUUGACAAAGAUGCUGACAUACCAUUUUACAUGGGAAGACCAACAAAAAACAACAGAGCAAGAAAGUACUACUGCCUCAAACGAUAAACUAUUUUGUGCAAGUUAUUAUCUUGGAACUCGCUGCAACUAACUAUAAAUGCCUUAAGUGUUUUAAGAUAUAACAUGGAAUCAUAUAAGCCCAAAACUAAUGAAAGAUCUCAUCUUUACUCCCAAUGACCAAUAAAUCAUCAAGUUAAACUCAUUUUUCUUCUAAAACUACUGAAAGAUCUCAUCUUUAUUUCCAAUGACCACUAAUUCAUCAAGUAAUACUCAUUUUUCCUUUGUUAAAAGCUUGAAAAUAAGAAAAUGAAAACAUAAAGGUCCUUUGAAUUCUGACCUUCCAUCUCCUUCCUCUAAAUUAACACCUCAAUACUUUACGAAAUACACAUCGAAGACCAAACUAUUACACGUAAUAUGUAAUCACAGUAUGCACUAACAAAAGGUGGAGGGCACUCACUCUUGAAGGAGAAACCAAUAUGCCACAAAUGUGAUAUUUGACUAAAAACCCAAAAUUUAGGAACAAUCCCAUAAUGCAACAAACAGAAAUUUCUCUACAACAAGAAAAAAUAAAUUGCCCCCCUCUAUUUCAGGGAGAUCCACAAAAACCCCAUAUCCCCAGACUACCCUUUACAUCAGAAAAUCAACGCAGAUAUAUAGCAAAAAAAGCUACAAUUAAUUUAGUACAAGAUAAAUUAAUUACCCGCAGUUGUAGCAAAGCUUAGCAAAUCCACCUGAUUUGAAUCCCCAUCCUUUCUUCCACUCGACCGACGUCGUUGCACGACAUAGCUCAUUCAUGCAAAUCAUUGACCCCAUUUUUUCCCUAAAAAUCAAACCUUUAACAACAAAUCUUUUAAAUCAACAUAAACCCUAAAACACCCAUCAAGAAAACAGUAAACCCAGAUCAAAUAAUCAAAAAAAAAAAUUAAAAAAUACCUUCAGUAUCAAAUGUAACGAAUACCCAGAUGAAAAAUCAACCUUAGCAUGAGCACAUAACUUACAAAAUCUUGAACUGAAUCAAAAUGGGUCAAACACACACACUGUAGAAAAAAUAAAUAAAUUAUUAACGGUGGUGGUCGGUGGUUGGUCGGUGAUUUCCGAUGAAGAUAGAAAAACAGAGCAGAUAAAGAUUCAAUUUUGCAGAGAAUUUUAGAGAGAGAAACAAAAAAACAGAUUUUUUUUCCAGAUUUUUAGAGAGAGAAAGUUGAAUGUGUGCAUGCAGAGUCUACAUAGCAAAGAAGAUGAAAGAAAAAAAAUGGAUACACAAAAUGCAUGCACGACACUUGAAGACAGACACCCACCGCAAGGUCUUCUUCUAUACUUUACAGAAAAAUUUCCUUUUUUUUUUCCAUACAAAUUUAAAACAAAUUAAUUCUUGUUUUUAUUUUUUAAUAUUUUUUAAAAUUAUUUUAUUUACUUUUGGUCAAUUUUUUCGGACAGUGAUACGAUUGACCCCUAUAGUUUCGUGAAUUCCCAUGUCCCCUUUUGGUAUUUAUGACGUCAAAUAUAUCUUUUUUAAAAGAAGUCAAGAUUUACUGUUUUAUACUUUGAAUAAAAAGUUACCAGGUCAGGUAAAUUUCAACAUGAAUGAAUCUAGGAAAAAAAGUGUUAUUUUUACUGAUAUAAUAUAAUGUGGAAAAGAUUUUUAUAUAUAAUUAUGAAAAGUUUGAUUUUGUAAUUCAUUGUGAAUGUUAGUAUUAUUUAUAGUUUAUUCUUGGAAACUUACAUUAAAAACUACUAUGUUAUUUUUCUUAUCGAUUUUUUCUUUUAUUUUGUUUUUGAUUACGUUUAUUUUAAAUUGAGGGUCUAGAAAAAAAUAGUUUUUUAUACCAUAAAAAUAAUAAGAUAUGUGUAUAUGCUAUACUUUUUUUCAAACCCUACUCAUGAAAAUAUCAAGAGAUUAUAAAUGAAAACACAAAUGAUUUUUGUAGGAGUUUUUGUUAGAUUUAAUUUGUAGGGAUCAUAUAUGAGAUCAUUUUGUGACUCUUUAUAGAUAAUGAUGAUAUAGUGUGUCGAAUUUUUUCACUAUUAUGGUAUUUAUAUUGCUAAAAGAUCAAGCAUGUUAUUAUAAAGAUAAAAAUGAAAAAUUAAAAGUUAAAAAGAAUUUUUAAAUAUCAAAAUGUGUUUGUUUAACACAUUGAAAAGGGACAAAUAUCAUAUAAUGAAUUUUAUUUUAUUUUUUAAUUAUUUUUUUUAAAAAAUGUGUUAGUAUUAAGCUAAAUAAGUCAAGCCGCGUGCAUGUCAGUUAAAACAAAAUCUGAUUAUUAACAAUUCUGAUAAUCAUGAUAUCUUUUCAAAAAUAUUCAUGGCAUGAAAUAAAAUUGACUAGUGUCAUAUUUGUUGACGUAUAAGAUAAUUAUAGAUAAAUUUAAUUAAUAAGUAUUAAUUAAUAUUACGAUAUUUAAUAUAUUAUAUAAUAAAUUAAAAUUUAUUCAUAGUCUAAAAAGAUUUGUAUCUUAAUUAUUGUUGUAUAUAAUUUCAAUCCUUCUAUUUAUGUAUGAAUGUUGAUUAUAAUGUGAUAGUAAAAUUGUUAGAAUAGUUAUAUUAACUUUGACUGAUUAAUUAAUUUAACACUAAAAUUGGCAUCAAGGAAAAUAUAUUCAUGAAUUUUUCAUGGUUUACUUCCUACCAAACGCACCCUAAAUGUCAACCCUUUGCAAGUUUUUUUUUUUUUAUACAUUAAGAUAUCAUGAGAUUAUUUCUAGCAUUUAAGGUUUACUAGUUAGUUUAUAUUCUAGGAGGAGUAAUAAUUUAGAUAUAUUUGUAUGAGUCAAACAUAGAAAAAAUUAUUGAAAUAUUUUGAAGAAUCUUUAACUAGUCAAUUAUUAGUUUGUUGUGUUAUUGUUUUUGACUUGAUCGUAUUAUGUAUUAUUUUAGUUUGUCAUCAUAUAACUACAAUUAGUAAAAAUAAUGGAAGUUCACAAUGUUUAUAUUUUAAAACUAUUUGUAAAUAAUCUCAAAGUAUAUAUUGUAUAGAAAAUUUAUUAUUUCUCAACCUAUAUGCACAUAAUCUCAAUUAUACUAAAUGAGUGAGGUCUGCUUUAGAGAUUAACAUAUAUAUUAAAAGCCUAUAUGAACAUAUUCUCAAUUAUACUAAAGAGUGAGGUAUAUAUGCUUUGGGGAUUUAACAUAUAUAAAUUAAAAGUUUAUUUCAUGUCAUGGGAAAGCUUACAACAACAGUACUAUUCAUGUUUAAUCGUCUCAAACUGAUAAAAAAGUUAUGCAAAAUAAAUAUUAGCCCAACUCGAUGGUUUGGUCGUUUGGCCCAUCCAAUAGAUGAUACAAGUUUAAAUAAUUGACCCAUCUAUUCAGAAUAGUGAAGAUUUUGAUCAAAAUUUUCUUACUCAUUUGAACUUCGCUCGAAUUGGAACUUUUAUAUUCAUUCACUUUCGAUUUCAAUAUAAUAACUUACCUAUUAUUUUAAAUAUUUAAAAACAUUUUAACAUCAAUGGAAUUUUAACUUUUCAGUAUUAAAAUCAAAAGCCCAACGAUCUUUUUCUCUAAUUGGACUUGGUCCGGGUUGGACUAAUUAUAUAUAAUAGAAACAAAGUUACAAAGAUAGCAAAAUCGAGCCCAAUAUAAGUUUAGCUCCUAAUAAAUAAAAAACGUAAGACAAAGGUGAUUUUAGGAAUAAUCUUCCAAAUACAAUCAAUCAGCUGACCUACUAGUUUUGAUCGAGUUUUAGAUAAUUAUCUCAAUUAUUUAGAAUAAUAAUGAAGAGUUUGAUCAAGAAUUUCGAUUCAAUUAAUAACUUACCUAACAAGUGCCUACGAAAGAGCUGUUUUUUUCUUCUUCAUGAAUUCAUUAGGUUAGAAUAUAUAUAAAUGUUGAAACGAAAAUUGAUAGCUGUCAUAAAAAUAAAAUAAUAAUAUAUCUUUGUGAAAGGUGCAUGGCUUACUAAUUUGUAAAAAUAAUAACAAUAGUAGGUAUGUAUGCAUGUUAAUUUCUAGGUUUAUAUAGGAGUAACAUUUAUUUUAUCUAUAUUUACUAGGGUUUGGUUUAUCAUGCAUGGUACGCACGUUACGAUUAUUUAGGAGAAUGACAUAUCACCCAAUUGUUACAUUAUGUUGCAACAUGUUCAUUCACCAACAUGUAUUCAUGUCUACCUUCCAUAGGUUCUCCUAAAUUUGGUAAAACAUAAUUGACGCGAUAAAAUUAGUCUAUAAAAAAUAUAAUUCACUUAAUUUAUUUAAAUUCAGACUGAUUAAUAUAUAGUAACUCGUAUAUAAUAUAUCCUAAACUAAUAUUUCUAGAUUUGACUAUUAUUAUUGAGUUUUGUGCUCUAAUUACAAUCAACCUAAUACUUACUCCGUUUAGUACUUCACAUGCUUAUGUUGUAUCUAAUGUUAAAUUCCUUAAUAGAGAUCAAUUCUAACGAGCCUUUCUAAUUCUUUUGAUUUGUUAAAUUGAACGAGUAAAAUUAAAUAUUUAUUUUUAUUUUUUACUAUGUAGGUAGCUGGCCACGUGUAAUAUGUCGGUAUACCUUAAAUGAUGCUUAUCCUCGUUUCAAUUUGUUUCUUAAGAGACUGGUAAAUUAGGGAAAGAAAAUAAAUAUUUGGUCUCAUUAUUUUCUGUUUUAUUGCCAAUAGGACAAUAAGACUAGUAGUGCCCUCCAUAUUUACGAAAUUGAAUGUGUUUGUUUUUUUAGUAAAAUCCAAGUAUGAGGUUUGAUGAAUUUCCUAUGCAUGAAAUAUUAUUAUUCUUAUUAUUAUUUUUGUUUUGCUUGCAUGUGUAUGGUGUAUAUUGGUAAUAGAUUUGGCAAAAUAAUAAGUCUAGGGAAAAAGACAAUUUAAUAGCCUGCCAAAAGUCAUUCAUUGCAUGGCAUGAUAACUAAUUCCUAAUUCUAGACCUACUUUAUAAUUUACUUAUUCACUAUCUAUCAAUUGCGUAAAAAAAAUCUUUAACGAUAAUUAAUUAAUGACAAUAAUUUAGUUGUCAUUAAAUAUGUAUUUUUAGCAAUAAUUAGCACUCUUUAUAUAUGUUCAUAAAGUCUUUAGCGACAUUGGAUUCAAUAACAAUUAACUAAUAUCGGUAAAUUAAAGGUUUUAACACUCUUUGUUAAUGUGGAUAUUUAUUGUCGCUAAAAGAUAUUUUUGUUGCAAUGAUCUUAUUUAUCCCAUUGUGAAAUAUUAUCCAACAGGGCUAGGUUAGGGAAACUUGAACAUGUUUGUUUUGUGCACACAUAAAACAAGACUUUUUCGACGUGGAUUAUGAUUGGAUGGUUGAGAUUUCUCCAUCUUAUAACUAGAGGUAUAUUAACUAGAGAUUUUAAGGUUAAACAUUUGAAAAUGAAUUUUUUUUGUUCGAAGUGUCGCUUCUAGAAAUAAGCCGUGCAAUGCGUAAAUUCAAAUUUAGUUGAACCUCAAUAAAUACUAGACACACAGUAAAUAGUAAUAACAAAAAUAAAAUUAUAAUCAUCUGAAAGUUUCCAAUACGUCUAGUAUAUGAUAGUCGUCUUUGAAACUUUCGUUGUUUCCAUUUUUAAAAAAAUGCAUUAUACAACAAUUAUAUGAUUAAAAUUUCUAAUAAAAGAAAAGAAAAAAUAGUAUAAUUUUCCAAUUAAUUAAUUAGGAAAUUACAGUGAAUAGAUUUUCCCAACAAUAAAAAAUUGUUUAAUUAUCCAAAACUUUCGUAAAGUAUAUUGGUCAGAUAAGAUAUUUAAUAGAUGUCAAAUAUCUUUUUCUGCCUGAGCUAGAAUCCUUGUGUCAAAUGUCAAUAAGAUGAAAUAACAAAUACUUCAGGAAAAUUGCAAAACUAAAAGUUCACAAUGAAAAUGAAAACAAAAACGAAACAAAAGCUGCCGGAUAUUCUCAUAUAUAUUUUUAGGAAAAUAAGUAAAAUAUAUUUCGUAGAUCGCAAUGUGUUAACGACACCAUGACAUUUAUUUAGGAAAAACAAAAUAUGAAAUAAUUUGUAUUUUUUAUUAUACUAUAUUGAACAAUAUUCAGAAAUGACAAAUAAAUCAAAUUUUGAAGAAACGUAAUAUAAGGUGAAAAAGGAAAAGGGAAAAUAAGCGAAUACCCAUAAAAACAAAAUAAUUACAAACAUAUACCCUUUAUAUUCAUACCCCACUGAAUAAUUACAUUAUAUAUUCCAAAAUUAAUUUCGCGAUGCUAAAUUAGUAUAUAUAUAUAUAUAUAGAUUUAGUAUCAGGUAAGCGAAAUUAUCAGCCUUAAUAAUACCAAUACAAUAUAUGAUACUCAUUUAAUAUCAGUUAAGCGAAAAUUGUCAGCCUUAGUGAAUGAGAGAGGGGGUAUAGGAUGUACUCCCUCCGUUUAAAAAAGAAUGAUCUAGUUUGACUUGGCACGAAGUUUAAGAAAAUAAAGAAGAUUUUUAAAUUUUGUGGUCCUAAAAUAAAGUUAUGUCAAAUGUAUAAAAUUGCCCUUUAAUCUUGUGGCUCUAAACAUGUCACGUGGAAAACUAAAAUUAAAAUGUAACCAAAAAAAGAAAAAGGUCAUUCUUUUUGAAACUGACUAAAAAGGAAAGGAGAUCAUUCUUUUUUAAACGGAGGAAGUAAUAUUUUUUGUGAGAAUGAGUAUUUCUUGAAUUAUUUUGAAUUGGGGUGUGAACAUAUAAUUAUUUUGAGUUUUAUGGCUCAUUUAUGUUGUUUUUCCAAAAAGAAAUAAAAAGGCACAGAAAGUAAGCGAAGAUCUAAUAACGGGCCCUGAAUAGUGGGCUUCGGUUUGUUCAUGGGCUGAUAAAAGAUGAGCCCAUAUCACUGGACAAUUAUUUCAUCUUUUGUCAUUUGCACUUUCUCCUCUAGUUUGUGUUGGUCUUUAAUAUCUGUCCCUCAAGCCAAAUAACUUUUUUGCGGAACAUAAGUUUAUAUUUUUGCAUUGUAUAUCUCACAAGUUACGUCCCGCAUCCUUAAAGAAACUAUACCCCACCAAAUAAAAGUUCGAUUUCUAAGGACAAAAAUAAAAGACUAGCCCAUUUAAAUAGCAAAUCGUGCAAUUAAAUGUAACAACAAACCCAUUUGUGAAUCACUUAUUAUUCAUGAGUACAUAGAUCAUGAUAAGUAUGCCUUGUUUUCUUUUUAAGGUUUUUCCACUUAUGUUUUGGGGUCUCGAUUAAUCCGAAUUUGAACCGUAGUAAAACCUAAGGAAAACGCUCCUUAUCAAGAUAUUUUUACUAGGGAACGAACCCAAGACCUUUGUUAGGUGUGGAUGAAUCCCACCAAAAUGUUUUGUUAGGAUUUCUUUAUGGACUUGGUUGACUUUCAUUUGGAGUUGUGAUUGUUUUGAAGGUCUAAAUGAAAGUCAACCAAGUCCAUAAACAAAUAUACUUACAACUAAUAAAAUAAUAAGACAGAUUAGCUGUUACAAUAUGUUAAAAAUGUAUUUGUUAAAAUUCGUUGUUUCUCUGUUUCAAUUUAUGUUGUGACACAAUUGUUACGUGACUUACAUGUUACUUAGAAUACUCUGCUUCAGAUCUGAUGUUUGUCAUAUAAUUUUAUGUUUUAAAGUCAGUUUUUCCCUCUCUUUCUCCGCUGUUUGAUCUGUUUUAAUUUUUAAAAAUGGGCCACUAUACUUAAUUUGUAAUAUAUUUUACGUCGUACAAAGCUUAUGCCAGAGUUUUAAGGCCAUGUGAUCAGAGUAAGUUAGCAUUUCGUCAGUUUCAGUUUAUGUGACACUAUUGGUAUUUGAGAAGUCAAAGAAGACGAUACAUUUGUCAUUUGUCGAAUUUCCAUUGAUUUAUGGUUUUACAAGAAUUGAAUGCAAGAUUUUAUUUAUGAAUAGGCUCCCAAACUGAAAGUGCAUACAUGAUUCUUCCUUUCCAGCCUUGCAACAUCCAAUUGCUAUCUUCAUCGACUAGAAAAUCCGCGUGAUAGAACAUUUUCACCUUGGUUUUUACUUCCUUGACGAUGUCUUGAUCCAAUGGAAGUUGUCUAAACCCCGCUAUCUGAUUCCUCAUUGACCAUUUCUUGAAACUUUCCGGCCUCUCAACUCUCUCCGCCCCUUCACUAGCUAUAACGUUCAUUAUAUCUCUUCCGAAUACUUCCUGCUCAAACGUCAUCCUUCCUUCAUCUUCUCGUGGCAUUGUGGCCUCAAACAUGUCAAAUUGGGACGAGAAAUGGAAUAAAGCCUCUCGGAAUCUUGUAGUGAAGAAAGAUGCAUUGUACAUAGCGUUAACGAUCCCAUGGACAAAGUAAUGAGGAUUUAUUUCCUUUAUCAAGUUGAGAACAGCAUCUCUUGGAUUUUUGUUGUUGUGUGUUACUACUGUUUCAUCAGGGACAUUCUUUAGCCUGUACAAACAAUUCACCACGACGAUUUCAUCUCUGUCAAUGUCCAAAUCUUCUAGUGUAAUCUCAUCCCAUUUCUUAGCUAUUGCUUUAUACUCAAAUGGAACAUCAAAUCUCUUGCAAUAGUCUUUUAAACGUCGUCCUGUCUCCUCAACUCUCUCAGCUGGUCGAAAACCUGGCUGAGGGAAAUCGAUUCCUGUGAUCUUAAGCUUUGGAGGUCCCCCGGGCCUUAGGGAAAUCCCAUGUAUUAUACAAGGCCAUUGAAAUCCAUAUAGAAUACCAAAAUCUAUUAUAUGAAUCCUCGAUGAUUCACUUGUUAGCUUCGCGAUAGACUUGUUUGCGAAUAUGUUUGACAUCCUCUUGAAUGGACAAGCAGUGAUGUAGACCUGAUAAGCUUUUAAGAAAUCUGCAGAUGAUAUUUUCUUACUUGUGAUCAAUGUUGCAUCUCCGCCAGCAAAACGAGCUUCUAGGGCAUUGGCGAAGCAAUAGGCGAGCCUUGAAGUAGCGUCACCAAAAGGAGAAGAAUGCUCCCUAAUUUUCUUGAGAACCUCUAUGAAUGUUUUGCUGUUGUAGCUUGCUGCAGCCUCCGCGCAACGCGUUAGGAGGCUAGUAAGAUCUACUACUUCAUUCGUCUUAACGCCUUUUUUGCUCCCACGAGGCCUUCCACGUUUAGACUGCUUUAUAUGAGAGCUCUUUUGUUUAUCCCAUGCUGCAUUAUCUGAUGCUGUUGCUGAUUUUGAUCGAUUUUCAUAGAAGGAAGGAUUCAAGCCUGGACAGAGAAGCGCUUUAUCGUAGUGCUCCUCUGUUUUUCCAUCCUCUGUUUCCUCUGUUCCAUUACUAGCUAACUGCUUCGAUUUUCGCCCUUUUGAACUGUCAUUAUUUUCAUCUCGAGUAUGCUUUUUGUUUCCAUCUGAACUUGGUAUCCCACCUUGAUUGACAUCAUUGACUUGAUGAUAAUUGAUUGCAUUCGAUGCACCGCCAUUGACAACACUAAUACCAUCACCAACACCUUGACAGAUAUUAGUAUUAUAAAAAAGGGAACAUUGGUCAGCAUCUAAAUCAGAAUUGAAAGUUGUCUCAACAAAUUGAUUCACAGCAUCGCAGUAAUCAUCUUGAAAUUGAUUACCACUAUCAUCAACGAAAUCGUGAUGAAUUGGAGGUGGAUUCAACGCAUCAUAAAACGAUUUUUCAGCUGCUUGGAGAGCUAUGCAAUCUUGAAACAUACAUGGCCUAUUUUCCAAAUCUUCUUGAUCUUCCAUAAGCAUCUGAUGUAUAUACUUAAAAACUCCAUCGAAGUAAUCUCCUUGGACUACUGUACGAUCACUACCACUUCCAAUAACAACCUCCUCCUCCGAUGGUCGUCUGCUCGAAAAACAGAGAACAUCGUUAACUCCUCCUCCUCCACCGCCACCGCCACCAAAGCGAUGACAGAAUUCAAAUCCAUCAGAUGAUCUAUGAUCACCUGGGAAAUGGGAGCCAGUAUUCAUCAUAGAAAAAAUGUUUUUUUGAGGGAUUGUGAAAUGGAUGUUGAUUCUUGAUGAAGACACAUAUAUAUUACUUAAACUAAAUAUUUAAGAAUAUUUUUUUGAGGGAUUGUGAAGUGGAUGUUGAUUCUUGUGAACACAUAUAUAUAUUACUUAACUAAAUCCACCGUACGAGUUAGUUUUGAUUUGAUAUGAAUUUUAAAGAAGAAAUUUUUUUAAAACUUGUAAUUUAAAAUAACUGACAGAUAUUUGUUUGAUUGAACAUUUUAAAAUUAAAUUGUUAUUUAAUAUAAAAAUAUAUCAUCUUUAAAAAAUUAAAUUAAAAAAAAAUAAAUCAUAUAAAUCGAACAAAUGUAGUACUUAUAUUUUUUUUAUAUUAUAUAAGAGAGAAUAAUAUAUACUCCACUUGUUCUUCAACGAGUUGUACGGGAAUUUUAUAUAUUUUGAUUCUUUAAAGUGGGUCAUAAAGUUAACUUUUUUCUCCUACAUUUUUUUUUUUAAAUUUGGCACUUGGGACUUUACAAUUGGUAUAUCAUAUGGAUGAUAAAAUUGCUUUUUCCCUUUCUUUGCUACUUGGGUCUCUGCCCUUGGUCGAUUAUAUGCUUUCUUUGUUAGAUUCGAUUCAAUUUAUAUGAUAUGAUGUAAUUUAAUGAAUUUAGAGUUUAAAAACAUGGUAACACUUUUACUAUCUUUUCAUAUGAUUGUUAAGAUAAAUCAAUUUUUUUAAACAAAAGAGUACACAUUUAUAGUGUGAUUAAAUAUUUAUUGAAUAAAAAAAUGUGUUUUUUUUUGUGAUCGGUGAAAAAUAAAGAAUGUGUCACAUAAAUUGAGACAAAGGAAAUAACUUUUAUCUCUUGUAAGAAUAUACUUUACUUUAUUUGUCUUUGUGCAUCUUGGUUAAUUUAGGCAACUUUGUAGCUAAAAAAUUUUUGUUUCCAAAAGGGGGCACUUAUUAGGUCUUUCUUACCUUCUAAACAUGUAAGCAUGACGAAACUUACCCGCAUAUGAUGUGAGCAUCGUAUUUUCUUUUGCGUAUUCUUCUUAUUUGUUUUAUUUAAACGUUCAAAAUUUUGCUUCUUUCAUGAGCUCAUAUUAUCUAUCCUAGCUAGAAUCAUUUCCAAGUAUAACUUUUGCUAAUUUUUAGUCAAACUUUGUUUCUCAUAAAUAUUUUUUUCUUUAAAUAAUAAAUUGUAAACACUUAUUUUUUUCUUUAAAUAAUAAAUUGUAAACACUUAUCAAGAAAAUAUAAUUAAGAUGUCAUUAUAAUAUAUAGUGUAGACAAGCUAGCUGGUACAUGCUUAUAAAUAGACUUGAAACGGACGAAAGCUUACAAAGUUAUGAGCUAUACAUGGGAAAUAGUACAUGAUUUUUUUAUUUUUUAUUUUUUUUGUCGAUCUUCAUAAAAGUUGAUGAUAUAUUUUGUAAACAAACUAGCUGGGGCUCACCUUGGGAAAAAGAGAAAUUCCAAAAUAUAAAAGAACAAUAGUCUAAAUGAGAGCGAGAUAGAGGAAACCGACUGUAAUUCAAAUGCUAUUUAUAAAACGAUGCGAAUUUGAAUUUUAAAGUUUAUGUUUUGUAUAAUAAUUUCAAGUUAUAAUAAUAUAUUUUGUAUAGCUUCAUAAGUUAAUUUUGUAGAGGACAAAAUAUAUACAUACAUUAUUUUUAUUCCAUGAAAAAAAAUUUAUUUUUAAAUAACAUUCGAUCGAUUCAAAUACAACAUAUCCAAAUAGAUGUAAACAAAGAAAUACGAUUUAGGUGAAUCGAGGGGGCAAAAAGGGUUGGGUGGGUGGGGANNNNNNNNNNNNNNNNNNNNNNNNNNNNNNNNNNNNNNNNNNNNNNNNNNNNNNNNNNNNNNNNNNNNNNNNNNNNNNNNNNNNNNNNNNNNNNNNNNNNNNNNNNNNNNNNNNNNNNNNNNNNNNNNNNNNNNNNNNNNNNNNNNNNNNNNNNNNNNNNNNNNNNNNNNNNNNNNNNNNNNNNNNNNNNNNNNNNNNNNNNNNNNNNNNNNNNNNNNNNNNNNNNNNNNNNNNNNNNNNNNNNNNNNNNNNNNNNNNNNNNNNNNNNNNNNNNNNNNNNNNNNNNNNNNNNNNNNNNNNNNNNNNNNNNNNNNNNNNNNNNNNNNNNNNNNNNNNNNNNNNNNNNNNNNNNNNNNNNNNNNNNNNNNNNNNNNNNNNNNNNNNNNNNNNNNNNNNNNNNNNNNNNNNNNNNNNNNNNNNNNNNNNNNNNNNNNNNNNNNNNNNNNNNNNNNNNUGGGUGGGUGGGGACAGGACUACAUGGCUGGACACUUUUUUGUAAAUCUCGAAAUCAAUUAUUGUUGCCACUCCAUCUGGUUCCUUAACAUGUGACUUCCUGUCUGGUUAUAAGAUGUAAUAACUUUGAGAUAAAAUAUAAAAUUAUUUUAUUUGGUAUCUUAUUGAAGGUAUCAAGUAAUUAUUGCAUUAUUUAUUUUAUUAUUUAUAUUAUAGUGAUAGAGUAAAUUAUUACUUAUAUAUGAUAGAAUAAUUUAUUUUUAAUUAAACGAACUCUUAUAAUGCCACCUAUUAUUGAUUAAAAAUAGUACCAAACAAAACUUAAUUCAAAUCUUUCCAAGGCAGACUCAAAUCCGCCAGCUUCAAAGAAACUUUAUUUUUCUUGAUUCUUUUUAUGUAUAUGUUAAAUUCAUUUGAUUUUUCUCGUGAAUAUUUUUUUUUUAUAUUUUAAUUAUCUUUAGUGAAAAUACUAAUUCAUAUAUAGUAAUUUUUAUUUAUCAAAAGUGGACACAUUAAUUUGCCUCUCUUCGAUAUAUAUCCACAGAAUGCAAACAUUCUACGAUGCUGCAAUAUUUGUCGGAUGUAUAACAUUCAACGAACAUUCAGCCUACAUAUCCCUGUAUUCUUGUUCUUUCCAACAUCUUUUGUUUUUACUUAAUUAAUAUCGACGUGAGUUAUUUAUAUUAUUGAUUUAGUUUGAAUAAAGGAGGAGUAUUGUAGUAGGUUGAUAAUCAACGUAAAUGUUAAAGAAUGACAAAAGUCCCACAUCGAUGGUUAAUGAGAUGGGUGGACUCCUUAUAAGGCUUGGGCAAUCCUCCUCCCUUUGAGCUAGCUUUUGGAGUGUGAGUUAGGCCUAAGACCUAAUUUAACAUGGUAUCAGAGCAGGACCCGUUAUAAGGCUUGGGCAAUCCUCCUCCCUUUGAGCUAGCUUUUGGAGUGUGAGUUAGGCCUAAGACCUAAUUUAACAGUAAAUCAUGCUAGUUUAUGAUGAAUCUUCAUGAUACAGAAAUUAUAGUGAUACUAUUAUUGGAGAUUAAAUAAAAAAAAUAAGAAUUUAUAUAAUCGAUUCCUAACUUAUUUGAGAUCGAGGUGUCGUGAGAAAUUUCCUUUAUACACCUUUUUGGUUGAGCUCAAUCUCUAUGAUAUGCAUAUACUAUUAUAAAGUCUGAGAAACCCAAUGUAAAUGAUAAUCAAAAGUAAUGAAUAGAUGACAAUGCAAAGAAACCAUGUAAAAAUUUGAGUUAGAGUUAUCAUGUGAUCAUUUAAUUACUAUUAUAAAUAUUUUAGAAAGUCACUUAUUUAUUUAAAAAUAUGACUUUCUGAAUUAAUAAAAAUUAGUAGAGUAAUCAUUUGAAAAAUUAAUUGUUCAUUGAAAGUAAAUGACAAGGCAUUAAUGGUGAUUAAGGUCUACUAGAUGAUAUAGAGAUCCAUGGUUAGAUGAAUAAUAAUGUAACUUAACCAAAUGGCACAAACAUGUUCAUCGUUCACCAACUCUUUAGCUAAUACUCCUUUCGUCUUAAUUUAUACAGUGAUAUUUGAUUGACACAAAAUUUUAAUAAUUGAAAAUAAAGUGAUCUUUAUCACGACAUAAAAAAUGUACUUAACUAUAUAAGUUAAAUUUGAUAAUGUCACUUAAAAUUUGGGGAAACGUACCUAACUUAGGUUAGGUGAAAAUAAUAAAAAAAAUCGAAGACAAAUCAAACAGAUCUUUUAUUUUCAUAACCAAAUAGAGAAUUAAGUGAACAGAAGAACCACCUGGUACAACCUACUACAUUUUUCUUAUGUAGUAGAAUAGGUACAUCCAACUGUUUUAUGUAUAUUCGAUAUUUAUAUCAAAUUAAAAAAAUAUGUGACAUAUGCCUUCUUAAAUACACUUUAAGCAUAAUUAUCGUCAAGUAACAUAUUUUUUCAUUCUUAAAUAAACUUUAAGCAUAAUUAUCGUCAAGUAACAUAUUUUUUUCAUUAAAAUGGUUCAGUUGAUUUGAAAAGGAUGAUUCGAAAUCGAUCCUCCUCAAUGCCUGCUCAUCCAAGGAGGUAUAAUCCAAAAGUUGAAUGGAAGGACAAUUUUAGCCCAAACAAUGCAAUUAAUUCUUCAAUAAUGUUCUUAUGGGAAAAUCAAAGUUCAUUUUGUACCAUGGCUAUUGUACAUCAAGAGAACAUUAUUAUUUUCAGACAAAUGUAAAUCUUAUAAUGAAUUUUAGUCCAAGAAGAAAAAUGUUUUCUAUAAAACUUGCAAGGUUUUCACUUUUCAAUCAAAAUAACAACCAUACUUCUAUCAGUUUUCUUUAGAAGCCCUUUACUGAUAGUGUUACAAACUUCAGAAAGAUCUUGGUUUCAUCACAAUGGUAGAAUGCUUCAAAAUGUGGAGACUGAACUGUCCACCUUUCUCCGAGGUGUCGAGCUUCGACUGUCCUGGAGGAGGCAACAUCUCAAAGUUUUGCACCAAACGUCCCAAAGUGAUGCCGAGAAUUGGCAAUGCAAGGAUAAUUCCGGGGCAACUCCUCCUACCAACACCGAAAGGAAGAAAUCUAAAGUCAUUGCCAUUGGCCUCAACGUGCUUCUCCUCUUCGAAGAACCUCUCAGGUCUGAACUCUUCAGGUUUCUUCCAGUGAGCGGGGUCAUUAGCUAGCCACCAAGCGUUAACCAAGAUUUUGCUCUCAGCUGGAAUAUCGUAUCCAGCAAGCUUAGCAUCAUGAAGGUUCAUGUGUGGGACUAAAAGAGGAAUUGCCAUCCUGAGUCUAAGAGUCUCCUUGAUCACAGCCUGAAGGUACGGAAGCUUGGGCAUGUCUGGCUCAGUUACUUGCACUCCUGGUCCAAGAACUGUAUCAAUCUCGUCACGGAGUUUCUUUUGGAUGUGAGGGUGGUUGACUAGUUCCGCGAUACCCCACUCAAUUGACCAUAAUGUUGUUUCGAUUGCUGUUCAUGACAAUAAUUAAGCAUAUUAGCCGAAUAAUCAACUAACCAAGAAGUUUAUGAACAGAUAUAAACAACUAAACAUGCUUCAAUGGUUCAAAUAAAGCUCACUUAUUGCUCAGUACAAGACAAAGCGACGAAACUACUUUAGGACCAGAGGCAAUUCCAAGAUCUACAAUUAGUGAGCUCAAAAUGAGUAUGAUUUUGUCAUAUAUAUAUAAUAGAUCCUUCUUUCAUAUGCAUGCACACUACAGACCAAAAGCAGUUAGUUCAGUAAAACUCAGAAAACCGCUUAAAUCCAUUUUUGUUUGAGACUUUGGCCUUAUAGUAUAUCAUACAGUUCACUUUGUUACUUAUUUACGGUUCUACUUGAAUGUUACCAUAACAGCUUAUUUUCAAAAAUUACAUCAGUGCUUUUGUUUGUAGACAAAAUAAUGAUACUAAAUAUCUUUUAGUACAUUACUCCACUAUCAUGAUCAUAAUUAACACGAGUUGUUUCAAGUCAUUACUUAUGGAAAGUUAGAUGCCUUAAAAUGUGCACCAACAACCCUGUCUACCUAACCCCCAUCAAGAAAAUUGGCAAGUACACCAACCAUAUCAAACUGUUACCUAUCCCCUUAUUUGGAACUUCUCACCUACUACUUUUGAUUAAAAAACAGAGUAAAUCGGAACAGGGAUCCAUCAGGCUUACGCCCAUUCCGGAAAGUUCCUCACUGCUGCCCCUCACAGGAAUCUGGGCCAUGUUUCAGUCCUAGUGCAGUUGAUCAUCCUCUAAGACCAGCUACUGAUCAUCCCUCUGCAAAGUGAUUGUCACACUAACUAGCUAACCACACGCGAGCCCCUCGGGUGGAUUCCUCCUUUUCUUUAGCAAUUAGUUGCUGUUCCCCACCCAAAUGCAUUCACUUAUAAAUUACUUUUCUUAGUUUCUGACUAGGAUGAUUAAAAAUCAUGUAACAACUGACAAAAUAAGUUCCUUAAACUUUGGUGCAAAUCCAAAUACCGUACAAAAAAAAAAUGUGGAGGUGACAUUGUCAUUCUUGGUUUACCAGUCAAACACACCAUUCUGUUAUUCUUAUCCAAAAGACUCGUGAGGAUUCCAAACCAAGUACCGUUAAAAGUUAUUUUCAACAUUUUCACAAGGAGAUGCACAUGCUAAACCAAACUAGAACAAAGUAUGUUCAGAGAAUUAAAAAGUAUUUUGAAACAUACCAGCAACAUUAAUGUUCUCAACAAUGUAAAGAACGUUAUCCUCGUUGAUCUCUCCCUUCUGUUGAGCAUCAAGAAUGUGAUCAAUGGCACAUUUUAGAGCAUUGCUGUCCAUGCUCUUGGUAUUUGCAAGCUUCCUGCACAAAGCAAUAAAAAUAUGUUAAAAACUAAUUGUACCUCAAAGCACUUCAUCUAGCCAGACCUUACAGACAAUAUUUGGCUAAACUAUCCUUCAUCUCUCUUUAAAGGAAACCGCAUAAUUAACACAACCCUAAUAUCAAAUGUUUUGAAGAAAAUUUAAGUCGCCACAACAACUCAAAUUUAAACCAGAGGAAUUUCUCCCUCCAAUCCUUUUUAUUUACAGCUUUAACCAAACAAAUUUGGUCCAUAAUACAAGUUAACAUCUAAUUAAUUUAGUCAAAAUCUAGUAAGAAAAUAGACCGCAAACUUAACUCAAUCUCAAAAGCGCUCAAUUGCCCAAAGACCAUAUGAAGAGUUCAAUCACACCAUUCCACACCAAAUGGGACUUCCAACACCACCCCUGCACACAGGCCUACCAUCUAGAGCAUGGACAACACAUAUAGGACACAACAUUGGGUAAACGAAGAAUUAGAAUAGCUUGGCUCGGAUACCAUGAUAAGAAAGUACAGACAUAGAACCUAACUAAACCCAAAAGUUAUCUCAUCACCCCUCAUUGAGAAUUGUCUAAACCACAUGAAAGUCCAGUCACACCAUCCCUCAUUGAUGCAGGACUGAGUAAAGUUUGGUUCCUUAGAUUGAUCCUAUAAUCCUAGACAAUAAGACAGCACUUUGUGAUGUGAUCACUGAUCCCCACAUUCAAAGAUCAUUACCAACAAUACACCUAAUUUAUAAAAGAGACCGAGUAAAGAUAGGUUCUUUAGAUUGAUCCUAUGUCCUACACAUUUACAUCAAGAAAAUAAAACUAGGGAAAAUCAAUAAUUGAGCAUAAAGGAGAUAAAGUGAACUGAACUUACUUUCUUUCAUCAACAAAGUAGUCUUUGAAUAGCUUCAACCUUUUCUCCUUAACCUCCUUGCAAAUCUUCAAGUACCCUCUCAAGAAAGGCCUCAAAAUAGGGAUAAAAUCACCAUAGUUGUACUCAAAGCUCUGAGCCAAUCUACUCCUCUCACCAUUCAAAGCCCUAAGCUUUACAAAAAGAGGAUCAUCUUCACUCUCAAAUCUCCUAUCAAACGUAAUCCUAAACAUGUUAUUAUACAUCAUAAGCUGCAAUCUUUUCCUCAAACAAUCCCAUUUGUAGCAGAUUCAGGGUUUUUCUUCACAUCCUCAACCACACUAGCAGCCUCAGACUCCCACCCCCCUCUAUACUGCUGCACCACCUUAUUAGUAAAAAAGGGUACAGUCAUAAUCCUCCUCAUUUUCCUCCAGUGUUCACCAUACACUGUAAAAACCAUAUCUUGACCCUUACCUGUAAAAAUAUCAAAAACAACAUUUCUUGUUCUUGAACCAAAUUCAACCCCUUGUGUGUGUAAAACUUCUUUAGCUAAUUCAGGGGAUGACACAACAACUAAGUUCCUUUGCCCCAUUCUAAGCAAGAAAACAUCGCCAAAUUUUUUAGCAUACUCAGUAAGGUUUCUAUGGUUCAAAUCAUCACCAACUUGAAGCCAAUUUCCAAAAACUGGGACUGGAAUUGGACCUGGGGGUAGUUUAAAUCGCUUGGAACGAAGUUUAGAGACAAUAAUAGCGAUUAAAAUAGCAAAGAAAAGACCUAUUAAGGUCUUCUCCAGUAAGAGAAGAUCCAUUUUUGGUGAGUUCUUUUAGAGGGAAGUUAGAGAAAAGAAUGUUUUAAUACUGAUUAAGUGAAAACUGUGAGUAUUUAUAGAGGAGUAAGAUGGGGGUUAGGUGAAGAGUUAACGGCGUUACGUUUAACGGAAUGGUAGAUGGGGUUAGGUAGAGGAAAGAGAGAGGUGGGGUGGGCUGGGUUGGUGAGCUCAUAAAGACUUUUGCUAAGGGCAUACAUCAUUUAAUGUUUGAUUAAUUUAAUUAUGAAGAUAAGAUUGAAUUUAGAAAUUAUCUAAUUAUUAUAUGUAUAAAUAAAUUACAAUUUGCAUAAAAGGAAAAUAAUCUCACUAAGAUUUUAUAUAACUAAUUUAUAAAUUCAAUUUAUUAUUAUUGGAAGUCUGUUUGGACAUGGUUUGAAAUUGAAAUUUUGUUUGAAUAUGCAACUUGUGAUAAGUCAAUUCCCUAAAUGGUCACCUAAGUUUAGAAAUUGCCUUGAAAUAUCAUUUAUAUUUCAUUUAUAACCAAAAUAUCACUCAACUAUCACUAUUUUCCUCUAAAUAUACUUGACACUUCAAAAGCCUCACUCUCUCCUAGUUAGCAUGACAUGUCAUUAAAGUUUUUUUUUUAAUAAUAGAUUGAUUUGAUUCAUUUAACUAAAAUAAUGAUCAUAUUAUUUUUUUAAAGGAUAUAUAUAUAUAUAUAUAUAUAUAUAUUAGUUUAUUAAGAAUAAAACUUCAUACUUAAGAAUCUUUUAUUAUAAUUCAACUUUUUAUUUUUUUAUGUUAUGAAGAAUAGGUUUUUAAAACGUACUAUAAUAGCAUCAAUUUUGAAUACUUAUAAAUAUAUAUAUAUAUUAAAAAAAAAUCGAUAUACAAAUCACUCAUUAAUGUUAACUUACAUCAAUUAAUCAUAAAUUUUAUAAUAAAUCAAUAGUAUUAAAUGUCAAUUAACUAUUAUAAUAAAAUUAAUUGUGUAUUUUGAAAUUCAUGCUUACAAUUUUUUUUCUUGAAAAAACAUAGAAAGUGAAUAAUAUUAUUACUAUUUUUUAUCAAAAAAAAACAAAUAUUAAAUAUCUCAAAAGUCUCCUUCUAUUCUAGUUGAUAUGUCAUGUUAUUAAAUCAUCAUUUUAGAGAUAAUAGACCUAUUUAAUUCAUAAACUUAUGUCUCUACAAAACAAAUAUAUAAAUUACAUGAGAAUUUAUGAAGAUUAUAAAAAAAAAACUAAUUUCUUUAUAUUUUUUUACCAAUGAAAAAAACUUUGUGUGCAAUUAUUACUUGAUAAUUUUCAAAAUCCCUAAGUAAAUUAGUUGAAAAUUUUAAGAAUAUUUUGCAUAAAAGUAUUCAAAUAAAUUUGUAAGGUUGACAAAAAAGUUGGUAAGAAAGAGAAAAUUAUUAUUUAAAUUUUUUAAAUUUGUUUUUUUAUAUUUAUUCUUUUAUUGCUAUAUUAUAUUUUAACUUAUCAUACCAUUAAACACCAAUAUAUAUUCUUAUCUUAUUCCAAAUUCAUGAAAUACAAGUAAUAAUUAAUUGAAUUGCCUAUUUUAAUUCAAUAAUAUACAUAUUAUAUGAGAUUAAUAUACUGAUAAUAAAGAUCAAAAAUUUUAUUUUCUAAUAUAAAUAUUAUUCACUUUCUAUUUUCUUUUCAAAAAAAAGAUAUUGCAAGUAUGGAUUUCAAAGUUACCCAAUUAAUUAUUUUUAAUAGUUAAUUGACCUUUAAUAUUAUUGAUUAAUUAUAUAAUAUAUGAUUAAUUAAUGUAAAUUGAUAUUCAUGAGUGAUUUAUUUAUCAAUAUUUUUUGAAUAUAUGUGUUUACAAGUAUUCAAAAUUGAUGACAUUAUAGUAAGUUUUAAAAAACUAUUCUUCAUAGCAUAAAAAUAUUUAAAAAAUAAUUAUGAUAAAGAUUCUUAAGCAUGAAAAUUUCUUCUUAAUAAACUAAUAUAUACUUUUUAGAAAAUAAUAAUAUCAUUAUUUUAGUUAAAUGAGUUUGAUGAAUUAAAUAAGUCUAUUCUUUAAAAAAAAAAAGUUUCAGUGACAUGAGUCAUGACAUGCUAACUAGGAGAGAGUAAAACUUUUGAAGUGUUAAGUAUAUUUGGAGGAAAAUAAUGAUAGUUAAAUGAUAUUUUGAUCCUAAAUGAAACAUAAAUGAUAUGUCAAGGCAAUUUUCUAAACUUGGGUGACCAUUUAGGGAAUUCACUUACUUUGUGAUUCGUCUUCUUUUCAUUUCUCUCCAUUUACGUCGAGCCUUGACAAAUCAUGGGGUAGGGAAUAGCUUGAUUUUUACGACAAUUAUUCUAAAUUAUUUUCUUUUCUUUUUAAAAAAAAUAAAGACGACAAGUAAAAUAAACAAUAGGAAAAAUCUCGACCAAAACAAGGGAGAAAACUUGUCCAAAAUCUAAAGGAUUCGUGAUUAACAUUCAACUAUCUUUAAAUGGAGUGAAAAAAUUGGCCUUCUUUUGACUAAUUUAAGUUUAUGCGAAAAUAAAGACGUAAGUUUCACCAUCCAAAAUUUAAAAGAUAUAUACUCGAUUUUCAAUUAUUUUUAAAUUGAGUGAAUCAAUUGAAUUUCUCAAACUAAUUCAAGUGUAUCAAAAGAGACAAAAUUGUCACCAAGGAUUUGUGAUCGACAUUCAACUAUCUUUUAAUUGAGUGUUUUUUUUUUAGCAGUACAAGUGUUAACAUAAUUUACGUGAUAUUAUAUGAUUGACAUAAAAUUUACUAUAUUUGUUUGAAAUUUAUGGUCCAAAAUAUUUUAAGAUUAUUUCUUGGCAAUACAUCAUUCAUCAAGGAUAAAAAUGAAAUUUUGAAGUUCAAUUAUUUUCAAUUAUAGAAAAAUGACAUUUUUUUUAGAUAAACUAAAAAAAAGUGUGUAAUGUAACUUUUAUUUAGAUACUUGAACUAUGACUUGUUCCAAAUGAACACAUGAUAAAGUGUUCCUAUUAGUCACUUUUGAUUCAAAUUUUGAAAAAAUAUUCAUCUGUGUUCACAAACAUCUAUUAGAUACUUGAGCAAAUCGCAUAAAUUAUUUCAUUGUUUAAUUGUACAUAUCAAUCUCAAUUGGAAGCAAUCUUGAUGUUCUUUUUUUAAAAAAAAAUUGGUCAAAAAAGAUAAACUAUUUUAUUAAUUAAAUAAUAAUAGUGGCGGUACUAGGGGUGAAAACUGUUUGUCCUGAGGAACGUCAAACCAAAAAAGAGUGUAAUUAGUAGUAGAGUAACUGGUAGAAGUCGAUGUAGUGGAUUAUUUUUGGAGACUAACAUGAUGUACCAAGCCAAAAUAUUUGAACCAGAGAUAUUAGUGUCUAUUUUGCCUUCUCCUUUUCAAAAUUUGAAUCGAAAAUGUUUAGUAAAAAUAUUUUAUCAUGUGUUCAAGUGCUCAAUUGAAAGUUUGGAACAAAUCAUAGUUUGAAUAUUUAAAUAAAAUUUACUCCCAAAUUUAAAAAGUUAUUGAUACAUUAAUGGUGAUUAGUCUCCACUAGAGAGCCAUGAUUAGAUGAAUAAUUAUGUAACUUAACCAAUGGUAAUAGGAGACGUUGAGACAUCAUUAUCGUUCUUUUAAAAGUACCCACAACAAUGUAGUACCUAACUAGAUUAUUUUAAUUUAAUCAUGUUCAAUUAAAAAUUACAUAACGAAGUUAGGUAAAGUAUAAAUAAGAUUUAAUCGCACACAUUUAAUUUCAUAGGCCAGGUCAAAUGGACUGUCGACCAGGGACACCAACUAUUUCCACAUAUUCAAUGUUGCAUCAUAUUAAAGUUAAGUGAACUCAUAUUAUAACACACUUAAUCAUGAUUAACAUGUAUUUACGUACUAAAUCGAUUAUUUGAUGAAUAAUAAAUUAAUAUGAUUUUGUGCAAAUACAGUAACUUCAUCCUCCGUACAGCAUCCUCAAUGUAAGCAACAAAUUAGUAGGUGAUCGAAAAGUGUCAUGACAAUAUGAGAAAUCUACUCAAUUCGCCAAAAUAAUGCAAUUGUCAGAAAGCCAAAUUACCAUUGUGCAUCAAGAAAAUACAUCAGAAAGGUAAAACUUAUAAUGAAUAAUCUAGUCCAAUAAGACUUUUAUAAAACAUAAGAAAGAAGAAUGUUUUCUGUCAAACUUAAAAGGUUUACACAAACAAACAACAAUCAUGAUUAAUUGAUAGCAUUACAAAGUUUAGAAAGAUCUUGGUUUCAUCACAAUGGUGGAAUGCUUCAAAAUGUGUAGACUGAACUGUCCACCUUUCUCCGAGGUGUCGAGCUUCGACUGUCCUGGAGGAGGCAACAUCUCAAAGUUUUGCACCAAACGUCCCAAAGUGAUGCCGAGAAUUGGCAAUGCAAGGAUAAUUCCGGGGCAACUCCUCCUACCAACACCGAAAGGAAGAAAUCUGAAGUCGUUGCCAUUGGCCUCAACGUGCUUCUCCUCUUC
rnacentral:lncRNA from 1 species